rnacentral:lncRNA from 1 species
CUCCUGCCAGUGCGAGAUUCAUAAUACAUGUAUAUUUCUCAUUAAUGCCACAUUAAUCAUAGGAAUUAUAAAUAAUGCAAUAUCAAUGCAAAUCAUAAUUCACACCAACAUGAACUCGAGAAUACUGCAUAUUGUAGAGCAGUAUCAUUCGUUCUGAUACCAAUUUGUAACAUCCCGAAAUUUAUAAUUUGGAAGCCAAACACACCAGUAGGCCACAAUAUAUCUAUAAUGGUUAAUUAUAAUUCUACUAACCAUUCAAAAAAAAUAUUCAUUUUGUUGAGCUUAUUGAUGUGAGAAUUACUUGACACAGAAAUUAAACCCUCUUUUUGACAAUUGUAGUAUAGAUGUAAGUAGGGUAUCGUUCUAGGCCGGGGAUUAGGAGGGAUUGCUAAUCUAUUCUAAAUUAAUUUAAAAAUAUUAAAUAAGACUCAAGGACACAAAACUAGGCUAAAAACUCUAAUAACUCGAAACACACUUAAAAUGACUCAAAAUAAUGAAAACAAUUAAAUUAAACACUAGGAACUGAAAUGGACGAAAAUUAAAUUAAAAGACUAACAAUAAAGAAAACUAACUAAAUAAUAUAAUUUAAUAAUGGAUGGGUGUUUGGUUUUGAUGAAAAGUAAAUUAAACUUAAUUAAAUUACAGAAUUGACAAAAAAAACAUAAAAUUAAGGUGAAAGGAUAAAUGACGGACUAGCUAGAGGGUUCUUCUCCACACAUGACACAUAUGCAACCUAAAUUGAUUUUCAGUUGUUCUUUCAAUAAAUUGUAAAUCUCAACGCCCCAAAUUAACCGUGAAUUGCACUAAUUAACCCUCAGUUUUUCCACAAGUUAUUGGGUUGGAUGAUUGCAUACGACAACCCAAAACAUUCCCUACAAGUUCCCUACAUGAAUUGCAUAAUAGAGAUACAAGCAAGAAUCAUUGAAAAACAUAAGCAUUGACGAGGCACUCGUUACUAUGAUUUGCAUGAAACUUAUGCCAAGAAUUUACUUAACGUGAUUGUGACUAGCAACCUUCACUACUUGUGAAUAUAAGUUCAUAACGAUUAGGUGAAAUUCACUUAUAUUCUAGCAUCAAAUUCAUGCAUGUAAAUUAAGUAUGCAUCCUUAAUCGACAUACAAAAAUAAGUUAUCUAUCAAGCAGUUAAGCAAAUUAAAUCACAACUCAGAAAUCACAACUGAAGGUAAUCAAUUCAUAUUACAAAUAUAUUCAUGGUUUCGAAUUAACCUCUAGCCAAAAUAAAAUUAAUUACACAUUAUUAAAACAAAAAUAAAAUAGGAGUUUGGAAAGAUUAAACCGAAAGAAAGGAUCUGCUGCUUGGACUCUGAACUGCAUGGACUCUGAACUGCAUUUUCAUGCUGACCUCCUGUCCUCCUCGCCACUGACUUCCUUUCCUCAAGCUGCCCAAUGGCAGCACUCUCCUCUCGGUCCUCUUCCUGCGUCUCUGCGAGCUGCCCAAAGGGCAGCUCCCUUCUCUCGCUCCCGAGGCCCCCCUUCAAAAUCGCUGCAAGGUGCAGCUUUUAUUGUUAUCCUCCUUUGUUUUUCCACCGAGCCUUUUUUUUAUGAAUUUCUCAAACUGCCCAGGCAGCUUCCAUUAUUCCCUCUUUUUCCGUAUGCUCUCUCAGCUUCUCCCACUCUUGCACGCUGCAAAGCACUUGUAUAAUAUAUUUUUCUUCUUUUUCAUUCUUUUGUUUUCUUUUGUUCCACCCACAAGAUUCCUCACUGCCUAAGGCAGUGCAUGGUUCCUCUUUUUCUUCCUGUGCUGCGCAAGCAGCUAACUUAUAUUUUAUUUUUCUGCUUUCUGCUUCACCUACCGCACAAGGCUUAGUGCUCUUCAUUUCUUUUUAUUCUUUUUUUUUUUCCACGCCAGGUAGCUUCUUUUUGCUCUCCACCUCACGCUGCACAGGCACUUGUUAUUUUCUUUUCUUCCAAAAGAAACAAAUUUUAGUGCAGAAGACAAUAAAAAUACAUGAGUAGACAAGAUGGCCACAACUUGGACGGCAAUAGUAAAAGAAAAAAUCAUAGAAUUAAUAUUCUAAGGCACUACAACAUAAAUAGACCAUACAAUUAAAAUUGUAACAGCCAACUCAUGACAGAAUGAGAACGACUAAAGCAAUUUUCGACGAAUUUAUUAUUUAAAACUCAUUUGUGCCAUUUUUAUUUUCUUUGCAUAACAAAUCCUAUAAACAUAAAAAAAUAACGUAAAUAGCUCAAAAAUAUAAGGAACUAACUAAGAAAAGACGAGUGAAUUUGAAGUAAAAAUAUAUAUAUAUAUGAUCCUAUCAAAUACCCCCAUACUUAGCUUUUGCUAGUCCUCGAGCAAAACAAAGAAAACAUGAAAAAGUACUAACAUGAAAAACAUUAGUUUCCCCCUAUGCGACCCUCAUAGAAUUUGAGAACACAAAUCAUCAAGAACCAUAGCUAGCACCAAACAAGUUAAUUCAAGUUCAUCUUCCUUAUUCAAAUAUUAGCUGUAAUCUUUAAAUCAUCCUUGAAGUGUAGUGUGUGAGAUAGCCAUGCUAAUGCAAUUUCAAGUUUUUAUUUUUAAAAUCAUCAUAUGCAAACUAGCGACCUUCUCACUGGAUAUGCACUCAAUCACACAUGUGUUUAGUUUUAAUGUGUUUCGCUCAAAGAAUCAAAUGUGAAAUUUCUACUAUAAGCUUGCAUAAAGAUCACUUCUCCACAGUCAUAAUUGCAAAACUUAAAUCAAGAGGACUUUUAUUGGAUGUAAUGAGGUUUAGGGAUAGGGUUAUUGAAACGAAAGAAUAGGAAAACACAAGUUCCAAGCUACAUUGCAAGCAAUUCUUUUCUUUAGAUUUAUAAGAACUCAAGCUCUCCAACGAUUCUUCAGACAUCUCCAACCACAACCUUAAACUGAAACUUUAAAAACUUUUAUUUCUUUGUAUACAAUCUUUCUUUUUCUUUUUUUUUUCUUUUUUUUUUUUUUGAAAUACAAACAUGAAAUACCCCCACACUUAUUCUUUUGCCAAACACCUUCACAGUACUUAACAAACGUUUCUCAUAAGACAAUCUCGCAUUGCUCGCUUGGAAAAGGGUAAGGAAAAAAUGUUUCAGGUAUAAGGGUAGACAUAUCUGGUGAUAAGAAACAAAAGGUUCAACAUAUACGGCUCAAAUUGGCAAUCUAAUGAUAUCAUUUUUCUUUGGGAAACAUGGUUAUUUGGGCCAUGGUGGUAAACCUAAUGCCUCCAUCAUUUCCAAGUUCAUGCAAUCAAUGACAAACAUUUCGAAAGAUCGUUACGCAAGUUCUAGAGAUGUAUCUCACAUAAGUUCAUCACACAUGAAAGAAUAGGAGUGUAUGAAAAAUGCACACACUUUCAAUAGGCUCAAAAACUCACAUAGGAUGUAUAUGGUCACUAAAUUCACAUAUGAAGCUUUAAGUCAUGCUUUAGUUUCACAUCAACAAGGCUAUGUGCAUUUGGUUUUUCAAAGAUGAUCAAACAUGUACAAAACUAAUACGAGAAUUAGGAAUUUCACAAAACACAUGUUAACUAAGUUCUUGAUGAUCAUGGUUCAAAUUUUACCCAAUUAUAUCAUUGGGUCGGGAAACUAACAAAAAUCUAAUUCAAAACAAUAAGGAAAACAAGACAAUAUUUUUGGAUUUUUAAAUUUUCCGAUUUUUUUUUUUUUUAUAGAGAAAACAAAACUAAAAAAUAAAAAGCAACAACACAGAAACAAAUGAAACCAGUUCGAAGUUGAAGGUACAAAAAAUUUCAAUUUGGUCAUUUUUACCCUUUACCCCCAUACUUAAACUGGACAUUGUCCCCAAUGUCAGAAAACACUAUAAUGCAAAAAUAAAUAAAAUAAACAAAAUAAUAAAAAACAAAAUAAAGCAAUUGGACUGAAAACUUCCCUAAUUUGCAGUAAAAUCAAGCGAUGACCCCCCAAGCUAAAAUUCUGCAAUCAACUUCAAGGGUGGAAAUAACCAAAAGUUCCUGCAAAGAAAAGAAAUAAUUCAGUUAAGGACGCAAGAUAAUGUAGAAAAAUGCAAACGAAAAAUUGAAAAUGAAAAUAAAAGAUAAUGAAUAGAACUAAUAGGUGAUCAUUGGUCGCUUGUUGACUUUCCACAGCUUUCCUCUUGAACUGAUUUGGAAUUCUGAGCGAGGAUUGCACAGUCUGCAUUCUUCUCUGCUUGUUUCCUCUGCAUGGCGGGCAGGCACAAGGUAGCUGUUUUGGUCUGAUUCUUUCUUCAAUCUUUCCAAGUGCCCACCUCUUGCUUUCUUUCUCCUUGUCCCUAGAUGAAUUGUCUCCACAUGCUUCGAGGUAUCAUUUUCACUUCCCUUACUGUCCCCCAGGUAGAUGUGGUAGACAAAGAGGAAGCACAAGAUGAUGAAGAUGAGUACUUGAGAGCAAGGCUAGGUAAGCAAUCAGGAAGGGGUUCCAGGCAGUUGGCUCCAGAUCGGAAGAUUGAUACCAAAUGCUGGCUGAUUGCUCUCCUUCUCCUUGUCGGAAAACAAAGACAAGGAGAAGGACAUGGAGAAAGCAUGAUAUGAGAUACUCUUGCUUUCAACCUUUAUGAUAUGAAAUACUUUUGCUUUGAAUGGGUUGUUCGCAGGAGUAUCCCAAGGAAUGAGGAACACAGAGUGACUCGAGAGGAUUCUUUGGGAAUGCAUUUUCGGAGAUGAAGAAGAGUUGAGAGGGUGUGCUGAGAGAGUGUGCUUUUGCUGUGGAAGGCGAAGGUAGAAACUUAUAGGACUUGUCUUCACAACCGGAACUGUUCUCUCACUCAUUGUCGGCAGCCGGUGGAUGGAUGAAUAGUACAAAUUACGCGCUUUCUGACAAAGCUGCCCGUAAUUUCCGCAAAGCUGCCAGUUGCAUGUGACAAGUGCUGACUAGGCUAAGAGAGACAGAUGGUUGGAAUCGGCACUUCGACAGACUGCCCGUGAUUUUCGCAGAGCUGCCAGUUGCAUGUGACGGGUGACAACACGUCUGGACGAAUUGAUCUUGCGAAAUCCGGGGUUCGGCUCGUGGUUUCUGAGCAAGCCCAACUUUUAAGAAAUGAACGCCUCUUUUGAGAAAAGAAUCCGGCUUUUGAGAAAGGUGCCCGACUCUUCGAUUUGCGAGAGGACGCCUCUUCAAUUUCUGAGGAGCGCCUCUUUGAAUUCUUCUUUUUAUAGAGGCGUUAAUUUUGUUCCACAACAUACUUGAGCUCCCUCUUGUAAACACUCCCUUCUUGCACUUGUUUAAUCUUGAUCAGUCCGACUCUUCUUUCUCAACACCUUCAGAAAAUGGCAGGCCCUUCUGAUCGACGUUUUGACUUGAACAUUCGUGAAGAGGCAGCUCCUCCUUCACCAGACAACAUAUGACGCCCUUCUUUCAUAUCCCCCACUGGUCCCCUUACCGUUGGGGCUUCGGUGAUGAAGAACGAUAUGACAGCAGCGGUGGUGGCCCGGAACAUUGUCACUCCUAAAGAUAACAGACUGCUCGCUAGACGGUCUGAUGAAUUGGCGGUUAAGGAGUCUCUGGCUCUCAGUGUGCAGUGUACUGGUUCCGUAUCCAACAUGGCCCAACGCCUAUAUGCCCGAACCCGUCACGUUGAAUCCUUGGUGGCUGAAAUACAGAGUCUCAAGCAAGAGAUUAAAGGGCUCAAGCAUGAGAAUAAGGAAUUGCACAAGCUCGCACACAGCUAUGCCACCAGCAUGAAGAGGAAGAUUGACCAGAUGCAGGACACCGAUGGUCAAAUUUUACUUGAUCAUCGGAGGUUUGUGGGUUUGUUCCAACAACAUCUGCCUUCGUCUUCUGGAGCGGCACCGCGUAGUGAAGCUCCAACUGAUCAACCUCUGCCGCCUCCUCCUUCUGUGGCCCCGCCGACUGCUGAAGCCCCGCCAACUACUGAAGCACCACCGGACCAAUGAAUACUAUUAGUUUACAUCAUUGUAAAAUAUUUGUAUUAUUAUUUUUUAUUAUUAUUAUUAUUAUUUUUUUUUGUAUUAUUAUUAUUAUUAUUUUUGUUUUUUAUCAUUAAUUUUAAAUUUUAUCUUUUUAUUUUUAUUUUUAUUUUUAUUUUAUAUGUAAAUUAAUGUAAAGAGACUUUGGUUAACCCUCCCCCACACUUAAACUAAAUAACACAAACUUACAGAAAUCAACCAAAUAACACAACUAACUAAACAAAACAAAAUGAAAGCAAUAAAGAUAAGGGUGGAAGAAUGCAAAGCUGAUUGGGUUAGCGAUUCCAAAGUCUCCCUUCGUUGAAUGUUUGGGUUGCCUCCCAAGAAGCGCUUGAUUUAACGUCUUUAGCCGGACGCAUCUUUCCUUUAAAUUUCCCUCGGCUCCAUUUGAACCUAAAAUCAAAGAAAGAAAAAUAAAUCAAAUAUCAAAAGUAAAAUACACAAACGCCAAUAUAAACAUAAACAAAAAACAAAAAUAAAAGGAUUAGCAAAGUUACUAAUCCCCGGCAACGGCGCCAAAAUUUGAUGUGAGAAUUACUUGACACACAAAUUAAACCCUCUUUUUGACAAUUGUAGUAUAGAUGUAAGUAGGGUAUCGUUCUAGGCCGGGGAUUAGGAGGGAUUGCUAAUCUAUUCUAAAUUAAUUUAAAAAUAUUAAAUAAGACUCAAGGACACAAAACUAGGCUAAAAACUCUAAUAACUCGAAACACACUUAAAAUGACUCAAAAUAAUGAAAACAAUUAAAUUAAACACUAGGAACUGAAAUGGACGAAAAUUAAAUUAAAAGACUAACAAUAAAGAAAACUAACUAAAUAAUAUAAUUUAAUAAUGGAUGGGUGUUUGGUUUUGAUGAAAAGUAAAUUAAACUUAAUUAAAUUACAGAAUUGACAAAAAAACAUAAAAUUAAGGUGAAAGGAUAAAUGACGGACUAGCUAGAGGGUUCUUCUCCACACAUGACACAUAUGCAACCUAAAUUGAUUUUCAGUUGUUCUUUCAAUAAAUUGUAAAUCUCAACGCCCCAAAUUAACCGUGAAUUGCACUAAUUAACCCUCAGUUUUUCCACAAGUUAUUGGGUUGGAUGAUUGCAUACGACAACCCAAAACAUUCCCUACAAGUUCCCUACAUGAAUUGCAUAAUAGAGAUACAAGCAAGAAUCAUUGAAAAACAUAAGUAUUGACGAGGCACUCGUUACUAUGAUUUGCAUGAAACUUAUGCCAAGAAUUUACUUAACGUGAUUGUGACUAGCAACCUUCACUACUUGUGAAUAUAAGUUCAUAACGAUUAGGUGAAAUUCACUUAUAUCUAGCAUCAAAUUCAUGCAUGUAAAUUAAGUAUGCAUCCUUAAUCGACAUACAAAAAUAAGUUAUCUAUCAAGCAGUUAAGCAAAUUAAAUCACAACUCAGAAAUCACAACUGAAGGUAAUCAAUUCAUAUUACAAAUAUAUUCAUGGUUUCGAAUUAACCUCUAGCCAAAAUAAAAUUAAUUACACAUUAUUAAAACAAAAAUAAAAUAGGAGUUUGGAAAGAUUAAACCGAAAGAAAGGAUCUGCUGCUUGGACUCUGAACUGCAUGGACUAUGAACUGCAUUUUCAUGCUGACCUCCUGUCCUCCUCGCCACUGACUUCCUUUCCUCAAGCUGCCCAAUGGCAGCACUCUCCUCUCGGUCCUCUUCCUGCGUCUCUGCGAGCUGCCCAAAGGGCAGCUCCCUUCUCUCGCUCCCGAGGCCCCCCCUUCAAAAUCGCUGCAAGGUGCAGCUUUUAUUGUUAUCCUCCUUUGUUUUUCCACCGAGCCUUUUUUUUAUGAAUUUCUCAAACUGCCCAGGCAGCUUCCAUUAUUCCCUCUUUUUCCGUAUGCUCUCUCAGCUUCUCCCACUCUUGCACGCUGCAAAGCACUUGUAUAAUAUAUUUUUCUUCUUUUUCAUUCUUUUGUUUUCUUUUGUUCCACCCACAAGAUUCCUCACUGCCUAAGGCAGUGCAUGGUUCCUCUUUUUCUUCCUGUGCUGCGCAAGCAGCUAACUUAUAUUUUAUUUUCUGCUUUCUGCUUCACCUACCGCACAAGGCUUAGUGCUCUUCAUUUCUUUUUAUUCUUUUUUUUUUCCACUCCAGGUAGCUUCUUUUUGCUCUCCACCUCACGCUGCACAGGCACUUGUUAUUUUCUUUUCUUCCAAAAGAAACAAAUUUUAGUGCAGAAGACAAUAAAAAUACAUGAGUAGACAAGAUGGCCACAACUUGGACGGCAAUAGUAAAAGAAAAAAUCAUAGAAUUAAUAUUCUAAGGCACUACAACAUAAAUAGACCAUACAAUUAAAAUUGUAACAGCCAACUCAUGACAGAAUGAGAACGACUAAAGCAAUUUUCGACGAAUUUAUUAUUUAAAACUCAUUUGUGCCAUUUUUAUUUUCUUUGCAUAACAAAUCCUAUAAACAUAAAAAAAUAACGUAAAUAGCUCAAAAAUAUAAGGAACUAACUAAGAAAAGACGAGUGAAUUUGAAGUAAAAAUAUAUAUAUAUAUAUAUAUAUGAUCCUAUCACUUAUGGUUGCAUCUAACAUUCUGGUUAGACUGCCUACGUACCCUAAAUCAAGGAAUCAAGCCAUUCGUAGUUCGUACUACGCUUUUGGAGCAAUAUACUAAAAUUUCAUUAUGAUCCAACGGUCGGAUCUUCGCUAAUUACGAAAUCAAGUGACGGUCGAUGCUUUAUUUUACGAACUUACAAAUCCAAUUUGGAAAGAUCUGUAUGUUAGAUUCCUGAUCCGUAAGUUCCUAAUGUCCUCAAAUAUUACAUAUUACAAUGUAUCAAAGUUUAGUGAUGAUCCAACGGUCAGAUCGUUGAUUCCCAAAUUGAUCAAGUACGGUAUCGUAAUGAAUUUAGGUUCAAACAAUUAACCUACAUCAUACAAAUAUCAAGACUGACUUCAAGGCAUCUAAUUUAGCCUAAACAUAGCAUCAACAUCAUUCUGACCACGCGCCGUCGCGGGUGGCGAUCGGCCACCCCGGUUUGCCUGAAAAUUCAACUAUUUCAAAAAAUUCUCAAAAUUUCCAAAAAAAUAAGAUCUUAAUGAGUAGAAAAAACUUUAUACCUGUGGCCAAGUCCAAUUUGGAUGGGAAAAGCUCAAAUUUGUCUCGAAACCAGCCGGAACCUUAGAACUUUGGUGGCCUCGAUCCACCUCAUCCGGCACUCCGCCGCCCCAACCAAGGCUUGGGACUUGUUCCUGGGUUCAUGAGGAGUCAACCCAUGGGUGGUCGAUGGUGGUAGCUUCAGAAACGGCCAAUCACUGCCAUGGUGCCCUCGAAGCCCCUUGAUGAGAUUCAUCACGAAUUUGAGUCUAUUUCCUUCAAUUCAGAAGUGGAAAUGGUAGAGGGAGGGUCGUGGAGUCAUGUGAGGGUGGUGGUGACGAUCGAUUUGCCAAAAGAUCGCAGGAAUUGGCGUCGGGGUGAAAUUUGGAAACGGGUCGGGUUGCGAGUUGAGGGAGACUUGGUUUCCCCCUUUUCCUUUCUUAUCUCCCAUGCCCUCUUUUUCCUCCUCCUGAUUGGGCCAAAUCUCCAUCCCCCACUCUCCUUUCUCUCUUUCCCUCUUCAUCAUAGCCACACAUGUGGUAUUCCCAUUGCUCUAUAUUUUCUGGAGCCUUCCAAUUUAAUAAGAAAAUAUCUAUUUUUCCCUCGAAUUCAAUCGUUAAUAACUCAUUCAUUAUAACUCCGUUUCAUGAACGGUUUUCGCUUACACGCUCGUGAGAUCGAGCUCUAUCCCAAUAUGCCAAGAAACAUGACAAAAUAUAUAAGGAAUAAAAAUACGUUCUCGUAAAAUUCAAUUUAGCCAACUAAGGCAUUUUUCCUUAUUUCACUUUCCUAAAAAAAAAAUUCCACAUAAACAUAUAUUUUUAAAAUUUUCAAGGGUGUUACAUACCUCUUAGGCUCCUACCACUAAUAAUGGUGCAAUUAACUAAUUCGAAUUAAGGUUGCCAAAGCGUAUCAACCAAUCUGAUUGUACCUUAAACCUAGACAUCAUAUAUCAAAAAUGUCAAUAGAAGGUUGUUACCUUGAGGAAGAAAAACUAAUUAGAUUUUGUAAGACAAAUAUGAGUGCAAUGCAAUAUCAACCACAUUGAUUUUUGUUUUGUUUAAUGAAAUGAAUUAGUAAAAAAAAAAACAUUAGGGUUAAAGUCCAAACUCAGUACGAAACUCACCAAUUGACCUUCUGAAUAUGAAAUGUAGGCUAACUAUACAAAUUUCCAAUUAUGCCUUUGUGCUUGAUGACUUCAGAAAGGGAUGAUAAUCCACACACAAUGUGAAACAGUUGAAAUUAAUGAAAAAUAUUGAUUACCAAAAUAUUAAAAAAAAAUUAAAUUACCAAACUUUCUUACCCUAAGUGAAUCGCAUGCACCCAGCAGAAAGCAAACAAUCACAGAGCGCAAGAAAUUUUUCAUUUUCUUCCACUUUGUAGUCCCAAUCCCUAUUCCGUCAUAGAUUUUUAGGAACUUUAAAUAAAAACUCCCAGUAUUAUUCACUUUAACGAAAAACCACAUUUUAACACUAAAAAGUCAAUCCUGGUACUAUUCACUUUACCCUUUAUUUUGUCCUUAUCGUUAAAACUCAAAGCUUUCAAGCCAUUUUCAUUAGUUUUCCUUAGAUUUUUCUCCAUUUCGAACAAACUCCAAAAUCUACAUCACACAAACCAAAUAAAAACAUUUUCUUCACUAAACCCUUUACCAAAAUCCAAUCAAAGUUUGUAAAUUUAAACAAAAGAUCAAGUUUUGGAGCAAAAAGCACACCUACCUGUAUGGCCAUGAAAGCUGCAGCCAGGGUGAUGGAGCCUCAACCUGCGAGCAAGAGAUAAAAGUUUUGCAGAAAAGUUUCUCAGUACUAUGAUAUAUAGACUAACAAAAAAAAAAGUACUAUCUAUUAAACUCCAAACAAAAUUGAGAAAACCCCAUUUUAUUUCUCCCUUUCCGGUUAAGCAAUCAAUAUAUACUGUUUGGAUUUCCCCUUCUGCGAAACUAUUUCCUUAGAUGUUUGGGUUUUUUCUCCUUCGUCACGUGGCAUAUCAUGUUUGUUCGAUCGUGUGAGGAAGAAGUUUGAUCAGAAAAUGGGGUUUUGGAAGAUAGACGUGGGUGGGUUGGUUUCCCUGCUAGUUCUCUCUCUUUUUCCUGUAAUUUUUUAAGUUUGUAAUUCUCUUAUUUAUUAGGUUGUAUUAUGAUUACUUGUUGACAAAAAUACCCUUGUGGAUGAGUGUUACUAGACACGUCCUAUUGUUUUAUUUCCUCACCCACCUUAUAAUUUGACUCAUUAUAAAAAGUUAAAAAAUUAAAAAUGUUAUUUCUUCACCCACAGUUAUUCCUAAAAUAUCCUCUAAUUUAUGUCUAAAUUCAUUCUAUUUUAAUUUAUCAGAAUGUCAUCACCCUAGCCGCACCACCCCUUCAAAACGUCACCCACCCCCGUCAGCAACCAAAACCUUUGACACAUGCUUGGUGGCAUGUCCUUUGGGGUGAGGGAAAAACGGGAGAGGGAAGUAGAGAGAGAAACGGGAAGGGAGGAAGAGAGAAACGGGAGGGGAGGAAGAGAGAGAAGCACGGGGGAGAGAGAGGACGAAGACCCCCUCUCUUUGUUUGCAAUGGUUGAAAUGCAAUUUUGAUGGAACAUAGGUGGACAACAGUGCGGUGGCAGCUUGGUUAUGGAGUGGUGGUGGGUGGUGGGUGAUGAGGAGGGAGAUUUUCAUUUUUCCCAGUUUGAGAGAGAGAUGGAGAAACGAUGAUGGGGAGAGAGAGAUAUAGGGUGGGGACAGGAGAAAUGGUAGCUGAGUAUUUUUUUCUAGGUUUUUUUUUUAAUUUUAUUUUUUGAGCUAUAAUAACAUUAAUUAUAAUAAAAUAAAUAAGGGUUUAAAAGUAUUUUUAUAAAAGGAUAAACAUGCCAUAAACAUUUUUACUAAAAUGUGGGUGAAAAGAUAGGACAAUAGGGUGGGUUUAUCACCACUUUUGUGGAUUAUGAAUCCAUUUUUCACGGCAUUUUUACUUUUUUUUGUUUGAGGGGCAUGUAGUCCAGUUCUUUUUGGUGAAGUCUUGAGACACCAAACUCUCAUUCUGGCUUUCUAAUAUUAAAGAUUAAAAAUAAAAGAAAUGAAAAUUUGUCACAAAUCUAUUAAAUGCUGAUGUGAGAAAAAAUAUUGAGGAUAUGUAGACUAGAUAAAGAAAAAAAUCAACAUAAAUUUUGAUUGAGUUAAAUUAUGAUAAAUUUUGAUUGAGUUAAAUUAUGAACAGAUUUCAUACAAGAAAUUCAGCUGAAAAAUCUUGAUCCUGGGGUUUAAUAAAUCUACUCAUUAGUAUAUGAAAAGAUUCAUUUAAGUAAAAAAAUCAAAUUGAGAUAUGAGACUAAGAGUAAUUACCUUGUUGUACGAGUUGUGAAGAAUUUCAACCACAAAGCGCUAUCUUGGGCAUACCUUUUGUCUCUAGUUUUUCAUCCCUAAAACCAGACCAUUUCUUAGAAAAGUUUUCACAACUAAGCCUUAAAUACUGAUUUUGAUGCUCUUAUCGAUGAAUAGAGAUAAGAACACAUCAACAUAAACAUCGGCAAAAAAUCUCAAUUUGAGAUAUAUUACCAAAAGUGGGGAUAUCGAGGACAUUUCAGCGAAAUUUUAAGCAUACUCAUAACUUGGACAAUAUGUUAAAAUCUUUCCUAGCCCAACUGUAGACAUCGAAAUUUCGGUAAAUAAAUCAAAGUUUCAACGCUCAUGUAUUACAUAAAUUUUACACGUAGCGUAUGUCUAAACAAAAAAUCGAAAUAAGUUGGAAAAGUCAUCAAACAGGACACAUGUCAACAUUUGGCAGAAACGACUUAUUUCAUCUGGAAUAUUAUAUUCAAAAUUAGGCCUUGGAAAAUUCUAUAAAUAGAAGCCAAUUUCAUUCAUUUGGGGGAACCAAAAUCAUUAGGCAAAAUUCUGAAAUUCUGAAAUUCUGAAGCUCUGAAGCUCUGAAACUCCGAAACUCUCAAGCAUCCAAGUUCCCAAAUAAUCAAGAAAGCCUUCUUCAUUCUUCGUUCAUCGUUCUUCCAAGAUCAAGCCUCGACGGCCCUUGGAUCAACAAUCAUCCACUUUCAAGAUCAAGCCCCGACGGCCCUUGAAGAAAGCGUUCUUCGUUCUUCGUUCAUCGUUCUUCCAAGAUCAAGCCCCGACGGCCCUUGGAUCAACAAUCAUCCACCUUCAAGAUCAAGCCCCGACGGCCGUUGAAGAAAGCCUUCUUCGUUCUUCGUUCAUCGUUCUUCCAAGAUCAAGCCCCGACGGCCUUUGGAUCAACAAUCAUCCACCUUCAAGAUCAAGCCCCGACGGCUCUUGAAGAAAACGUUCUUCGUUCUUCGUUCAUCGUUCUUCCAAGAUCAAGCCCCAACGGCUCCUUGAAGAUCCGCUCAAAUCCACCUUCAAAGAUCAAGGCCACAGCCCCUUAAAGAAACUUCCAACAGUUCAUCCAAGAUCAAGCCUCGACGGCCCUUGGAUCAACAAAACAUCCAUAAAUCAACACCUUACGGAGAUCGAAUCAGAGGAUCAAAAUAGAAAGAGAUUGUAACCCAAAAUCAUCAAAUACAAAUAUUAUUUUGUGCACGUUGUUCUUGUCUCUUUCGUUUCAGGAAUUUUCAGUGUUCACAAAUUGGCACGCCCGGUGGGAUAAUCUCUACCUCUCAUCUCUUUCUCCGUUCAAGAAAUUCGAGCACACUUCCAAAAUUAAUGGCAUCAAGGAAGGCUCAAACUGUUCCCGCAACUGGCGCAAAGAUCAAGAGCGUCCUCGUCAUAAGUGGUGUCACUUUAGGCAUCACGACUCGAAGCAAGGCAAGAGCUACUUCCGCCACCUCUUUCACCUCUGCAUCAACUCUGCCAAAGGAACAAGAGCACCCAAGGCACGAGCCUUUGAUCACCUUAGCCUCACCAAGGGCACCAAGGGGCGAAAGUCCAAGGAAAUACUCCGAAUCCAUGCUUUCUGAUGCCAAUUCGAGCGGCAGUUCAGCCAUGCAAGUCAUGACCAUUGGAGCAACUUCAAUCAAUGAGCAGCUGGCUCAAAUGAAUGAAGCAAUCGCAAGGCUAACCCGAACUGUGGAAGAAAAAGACUUGCAAAUCGCUGCACUCGUCAGCCGACUGGAGCCACGGGACGGUGAGAACCCUAACCCAGAAGAUGAGCCUACGGUGGAGAGAAUCGAUGCGAAGCCGGAGCCAGACCAAGCAGCGGCACUCAUUGGAUCUCUUUCUAUCCAGCAGUUGCAAGAGAUGAUUGCCAGCACCGUCAAGGCACAGUACGAAGGGAGCUCAAAUACCUUCGGGUUGUACUCAAAGCCUUAUUCAAAGAAGAUUGAUGCCCUAAAGAUGUCGAGGGGAUAUCAACCACCAAAGUUCAUGCAGUUUGAUGGAAAAGGAAACCCAAAACAGCACGUUACACAUUUCGUCGAAACUUGCAACAACGCGGGGACGGAGGGAGACUACCUCGCCAAGCAGUUUAAGCGCUCGCUGAAAGGAAACGCCUUUGAGUGGUACACGGACCUAAAGCCUGAGUCCAUCAACAGCUGGGAACAGUUGAAAAGGGAAUUCCUCAACCGCUUCUACAGCACCCGCCGCACUAUGAGCAUGCUAGAGCUAACGAGCACAAAGCAGUGGAAGGACGAGCCAGUCAUUGACUACAUCAACAGAUGGUGCACUCUAAGCCUCGACUGUAAAGACAGGCUCUCGGAAACUUCUUCAAUCGAGAUGUGUAUCCAAGGCAUGCAAUGGGGUUUGCAAUACAUCCUUCAAGGCAUCAAACCACGGACCUUCGAAGAGCUUGCCACCCGCGCCCAUGACAUGGAGUUAAGCAUCGCCCAUCAUGGGAAGAAGGAACCGAUCGCCGACUACAAGAACGACAAAGUUCUUGAGACAAAGAUGGAGAAUGCUGCGUGGAAAUCCACCAAGGAAGCAAUGACAGACAACACAGCUCCCGUCAAAAUCCCUACACGAGGCAAGGCGAUUCAAUCCGAAGGCUUUCGUGAUCAAGAGAUGCGUAGACGCACUUUGAAGGAGCUUGAGGAGAAAACUUAUCCAUUCCCCGACUCUGAUAUGGUUGCCAUGUUAGAAGACUUGCUGGAAAAGAAGGUGAUCGGCUUGCCUGAGUGCAGACGGCCAGAAGAGAUGAAUCGCACCGACAGUCCAAGGUACUGUAAAUUCCACCGCUUCAUCAGUCAUCCGACAGAAAAGUGCUUCGUGCUGAAAGAUCUCAUCAUGAAGCUGGCUCGGAAAAGAAUCAUCGAGCUAGAUCUUGACGAUGUGGUGAAGUCAAACUAUACCACCAUCACUUCUGGCUCUUCCUACUCAAAGUUUUUACCUCAACCUCCGGGGGCAUCCUCCAAGACAAACAAAGUUGAAGGAUGGACUCAAGUCACUCCUAAGAAAUUGCACAAGAAGCAUACGUCUCCUCCACAAGUUCGCCAAUCGGAAAGGGGGCAAAGCAGCUCUUGUCAACCUUCAAAGCAACGUGAACGUGUUGAAGAUGAUAAAAUUACGACACAAAGAUCGUCUGUUGCCAUCACGAUGCGCUUCUUUCCUGAAGACUUCUUUAAUCACUCGGUCAAGGCUUCUUGCUAUGAAGAUUGUGAGGAACGCCUCUCCAAAAUUGCUUGACAAAUUCACCAAUGCUCCUUGUUCGCACGAGCCUAAACUGCACGAACCAAACGCUCCUGGUUUGCACGAGCAUAAAAGGCAACACCAAACGUUCCUUGCCUGCACGAGCUGAAACUGCAACACGGCACCAAACGCUCCUGGUUUGCACGAGCAUAAAAGGCAACACCAAACGCUCCUUGCCUGCACGAGCUGAAACUGCAACACGGCACCAAAUGCUCCUGGUCAGCACGAGCAUAAAAGGCAACACCAAAGCUCCUGGCCCACAAGAGCAUAAACUGUGUACGGCAAAAUCAUCAAAAUCACUGUUAAAUUCAUCACUUAUUCGAACUACGUUAAGACUUGAUCUCUUCUUUGGAAGGGUACGUAAGCAGCUUGAAUAUUCAAUUUUGAGUUCAGUCACAUCAAAAUAAAAAUAAGGGUUUUAUUAAUGAAAGUCAAUUUCAUUACAAAAAAAAAAAUACAUAUGUGAUUACUAUGUACUUAAAAAAAAAAAUAUAUAUAUAUAUAUACAUAUAUUAAAAAAAUAAAAUAUAAUAAGUAAAUAAAUAAAAAGGAAGCGGAUGGAUCAAAAUUAUUGGGCUAGAAAAUCUAGAAGGUGCAGCAAUCAUUUAAUUGGGGCCUGAAAUCGUGAUGAGCCCAGCCACAAAUCCAAGCCCAGGCUUCAGCUUGUCUUAUUCUCCCGGCUAUUCUAGGCCCACAGCGCUCAGCAAUGGCAUCCACGAUUCUAUUUCUGCUUGUCAUCGAUCAGAACACCCGUUUCCUCCACCGAGUCUGACGGCGUAACCCGACCCGGUUGGAAGAGGUACUUGUCGAGGGAUCCAUUUGGGACGUACUCAUAGACUAAGAUCCGUUGACCCUUUUCCGCGUAAAAGCCCCAAAGUCUGACCAAGUUGAGGUGGUGCAUCUGGGCAAUAAUCGUUACCUCCGCCCAGACAUGCUUCAAACACUUAACUGCCACCACGCGCUGAUCGGUUAACACGCAUUUGUAAACAUCUCCAAACCCGCCUUUGCCGAUGAGGUUCGAUAAGUCUUUGGUGGCGGCUUUAAGUUCAGCGUACGAGAACCGCUUUGGGCCCCCGGUGGGGAGGAACUCGAGACCCAGAGUCCGAGCCAUGUCUCUGUACUUGAUGUACUUCUUUAUAAAUGCCCAGAAGAAAAGCACGCCGGAAAUCAGCUCCGCCACAAAAAUGGUGCAUAUAAUCACAAUGUUCCUUGUCGUCGCGUUCGAAUCCUCCGGCGGAAGCAGGAGGCUUAUCUGAACGGGACACGUCGUUUCCAGCAGCUCCGUCAUCCCUGUCCUUUCCUUUGUCCUUGUUCUUACCUACAAAGACAAGGAUAAAGAAAACAAUAUGCCGGAACCUCCACUCAAACUCGGGUAAGGAACCGACUGCUUGGAACCCUUCCCUGAUUGCCUACCUAGCACUGCUCUCGAGUACUCGUCUCCCAUUGCUGCUGUACUUCCAAAGAAGCUGCUACAUCUGCCUGAAGAACAGAUAAGGCAAGUGAAAAUGAUACCUUGCAGCAUGUGGAGACAACAUGCAGAAGAAACAAGCAGAGAAGAAUGCAACCUGCACAGUCAACUCAGUAGAAGGAGUCUGAGCUGAAGAACUCGAGAAGAUGCUACAUUCUGCCAGAAGAAUAGAUAAGACAAGAAAAAAUGAUACAUUGAGGCAUGUGGAGACAAGCACAACAAAGCACGUGCCGAUUCAUCCGCUACUUCUUCAAAAUCAAAAGUAUCUCAUAUCAUCAGGUUUGCAAUCACUCUGGGUGGAGGACUCGUUUUGACCCUCAAAUUCUUGGGUCGACUCGCCAGGCGUUGCGGGCUGCACUUGCCAAUUCACCACCCUUGAAUCCAAACCUUAAAGAUCAAGUCACCCACUGGAAGAAAAACCCAUCAAUCUUGAAGAUCAUACCGCUGACCAAACUGCUCAGGUGUGAAUUAGAAAGAUUGAACAAAACAACAAGUCGUCACCUUCACCUCGUGCCUGCUUGCCAUGUGUUCGAGUCAACCUUCAAGAAUCAAGCCUCAACGGCCCUUGAAGAAGUUUCCGGCCAAAUUCAAGAUCAAGCCUCGACGGCCCUUGAAGAAAUCACAAGUCCGAUUCAAGAUCAAUUGUCUACCACUCUUGAAUCAAAACCUAGUUCAAGAAUAAGCUGUGAAAAAUCAACAAUUUGAGGAAUCCAGAAAAUCCUCCAACCUAGUUCAAGAUCAAAGCUGUGGAAAGUCAACAAAGCGCAAAAAACAAAUACGUGCCGAUUCAUCCACUACCCAAGCCAAAGCUCAUCUACCACAUGAAGCUCCUAGUGGUCCAAUUUCAACCUUCAAGAUCAAGCCUCGACGGCCCUUGAAGAAAUCUCCAACCCAAUUCAAGAUCAAGCCUCAACGGCCCUUGAAGAAAUCUCCAACCCAAUUCAAGAUCAAACCUCGACGGCCCUUGGAUCGACAUCUACAAUAAAGGACUUCCAAACACAUCUCCUACACAUGACAAGCACAUGUAUACGACGCGCCUUGAAGUGGGGGCAUUUGUAGACAUCGAAAUUUCGGUAAAUAAAUGUUGACCGAUAAAUCAAAGUUUCAACGCUCAUGUAUUACAUAAAUUUUACACGUAGCGUAUGUCUAAACAAAAAAUCGAAAUAAGUUGGAAAAGUCAUCAAAUAGGACACAUGUCAACAUCUGGCAGAAACGACUUAUUUCAUCUGGAAUAUUAUAUUCAAAAUUAGGCAUUGGAAAAUUCUAUAAAUAGAAGCCAAUUUUAUUCAUUUGGGGGAACCAAAAUCAUUAGGCAAAAUUCUGAAAUUCUGAAGCUCUGAAGCUCUGAAACUCCGAAGCUCUCAAGCAUCCAGGUUCCCGAAGAAUCAAGAAAGCCUUCUUCAUUCUUCGUUCAUCGUUCUUCCAAGAUCAAGCCUCGACGGCCCUUGGAUCAACAAUCAUCCACUUUCAAGAUCAAGCCCCGACGGCCCUUGAAGAAAGCGUUCUUCGUUCUUCGUUCAUCGUUCUUCCAAGAUCAAGCCCCGACGGCCCUUGGAUCAACAAUCAUCCAUCUUCAAGAUCAAGCCCCGACGGCCCUUGAAGAAAGCCUUCUUCGUUCUUCGUUCAUCAUUCCCCGACGGCCCUUGAAGAAAGCGUUCUUCGUUCAUCGUUCUUCCAAGAUCAAGCCCCGACGGCCCUUGGAUCAACAACAUCAACAAAUCCAUACAUCCAACCGUUCUUCAAGAUCAAGCCCAAAAGCCCCUUGAAGAUUCGUUCAUCACCGUUAUUCAAGAUCAAGCCUUAACGGCCCUUGAAGAAACACUCAUCCUCAAGAUCAAGCCCCAACGGCUCCUUGAAGAUCCGCUCAAAUCCACCUUCAAAGAUCAAGCCCACAACCCCUUGAAGAAACUUCCAACAGUUCAUCCAAGAUCAAGCCUCGACGGCCCUUGGAUCAACGAAACAUCCAUAAAUCAACACCUUACGGAGAUCGAAUCAGAGGAUCAAAAUAGAAAGAGAUUGUAACCCAAAAUCAUCAAAUACAAAUAUUAUUUUGUGCACGUUGUUCUUGUCUCUUUCAUUUCAGGAAUUUUCAGUGUUCACACCAACAUUUAAUUAUAUUAGGUAUUGAUUUUGACUAUUUCUAAAAAGUUCUCACAUCCAAGCUGUUAAAUAUUGAUUUUGACGGUCUUAUUGAAGAAUGGAGAUAAGAUCAUGUCAACAUAAAUAUCUACAAAAAAUCUUAGAUGUGAUACGUUACCAAAAGUGGGGAUAUCAAGAAAACUUCAGCGAAAUUUCAGGUGUGCUUAGUUGCUUACAACUUGGACAAUAGCACAAGAACGUUAAACUAUUUCCUAGCCCAACAUUUACUUAUGUAAAAUAUUAUAAGUAUCCAGUUAUAAUGCGUAGAGUGUCAUACUAACAUGAGUAAUUUAAGGCGUGCUUAAGCAACCUCACACAUAUAAGACUAUGGUGACUAAAUGAAAACUCCUUUACUAACCUACAUCGUACAUGAAUCACCUUAUUACAGUUUUUAGUUUUAAGUUUAAACUAACAAGCUUGGCAAUAUCAAAGCUCAGCGUAAAUCUUUGUGAACAUUUGCUUCAAUCAAUGUUUCCAUGAUGUGGGACAUCUUCCUAUUUUGUGAUUGGCGCAGUGUAUUCGUUCUUUAUUAAUAUAUAAAUAGCGCAUUCUCCCAACAUGUUGAUAUGGCCGAGUUGGUCUAAGGCGCCAGAUUAAGGUUCUGGUCCGAAAGGGCGUGGGUUCAAAUCCCACUGUCAACAUCUCUAUUUUUCCGAGUUCAAUAUUUUUUAUUUUUUUUAUAUUUUUAAUGGGGUAAAGUGAGUUCCAUGAAUUUUAAUUCGCGCCUAGAACAGAGACUGUUGAGCAUAAAAAACAGUUGACAUCCAUUAGCUUCAACAUUUCUUAAAAACAUUGUACAAAUUUUUCUUUGGCAUCAGAACAACCUACAAAAUGGAGUUGUGAGAAAGCUAUAGGAGGCAGAUUCUCUGCCCUCCCACUUUCCAUGCCUCCUGUUUUGUGUGGUCACGGUUAAACCACAUCAAUAUUUUAUAUUAUUUUUUAUAGAGAUAAUAAGACAAAAAGAAAUAGUAAUAUAAAAUGUCAACGUGGCUUAAUCGUGACCACACAAACAGGAGAGCACGGGAAGUGGAAGGGCAGAGAAUCUGCCUCCAAAGCUAUAACCUUGCACUGCAGGAGCAUUGACUAUGAAUUUUUACAAAAAAUAACGACCCCAAUUAAAUAUAACUCCCAAUAAUACACGUUCGAUUCAAUUCGACAAUCAAAUAACAGUGUCUUUUUCUAACCAAUGCUACUUGCAUUGCUCCAUUGGAUGAUCAAUGAUGCUUGCAUUCGUACUUAUUUUCUCUUGUUUCUGCUUAACUUCUAAUGAGCCAUGCAUUCAUUGGUGCAACCCCCCGUCGUAGUUAUAUAGCUCUCCCACGUCCUUGUGUAGCACCAUCUCUUACAAUUCUCCAUCGCCAAAAAUUCAUUUCCGUUGAAACAAAAAAUUCAAUGAAAAAGAAAAUAAGAAACUCAGAAUACUUGUCUGAUGUUGACGUUGAUUCUUGAAGUUUGGAUGUACUCUAAAACACAAACAUCCUCCUCGUCGGAGAACUGCUUCUCAAGAGGCACAAUUUCAGCAUUUUCUCCCUCAGUGAAUAUCCGAGGCACGCCUGCAACACAAGAAAGCCAAGCCGUUACCUUAUAAGGCUGUAAAUACAAUACCCUACGAAAUCACAACCACAGUUAAGUGUUGUGGUAAAUGGCAAGCCGCACUGUUUAUCACAAGAAAGCACACGAGAGUAAAAGAAAGGUGAAGAUUCGCAUUUACCAUGAAAGCAUUCCCUUGCUUCCCCGGCCAUAAGUACAACAUCACCGCUUCGAAGGAACAUUGCUAUUGGAGGAUCCUCCCUAAGCUUUCCACCCAAAAGGAAAAUUGCUUUGCAGCCUAAACUGAGGAAAGUGAAAGACAUUUCAGCUCCUAAGGAUAUGUAUAUUAUUAGCUCUAUAUCCUUUUUUUCUUGAUGGACAACCCGGAUUGAAAAACAAAAAUGAAAUGGCAUGGAAAGAUACCUCAUGCUUACGAUAGGCUUACUCCAAUCAGCUUCCAUGUCAUCAAGGUGGCCCCCAAGCAUAUCGCCUAGACAAAGAAAAACAGAAGACGGAACAAAUGUAAAUUCUAGCUUGUUCAUACCUUCAUACCAAAAAGAAACAACAUUCAAAUCGUUGGUGAGGAACUCUUUCGUAGCAAUACCUGGGCCAAAGUAGUUGACUAUUGCACCUUCAGGCUGGAACUCUUCACCCGGAGGCAUUGCAGGUUUUGCAAGUCUUUUAGCCAGUUGACAAAGUGUAUCAGGGAUUUUGUUAUGUGGGAGAGAGACGUCAUAGUUUCGCUACACCAUGAACAUAUUUUUGGUUCGAUAUGUAUUGUGAGGAAACUCGAAUGCAUCAAACAAAGUCUCAAAUUGAACUGAUUUACCAAUAGAUAUCAGAAACUAUUCAUUGCUUACAAAGGGUAACAACUAUUUUUAGGUUGAAAAGUACAGUUUCCAUUUAUUCUCGCCUAAAUCGUGUGGCAUCCAAGCGGCAUGCAACUUUGGUUUAGUAAAAAUGCAUGAUAGGCUUUCUAGAUUGAAAAGAAAAAUUGGACCAACACCUACCUUGGACCAUUCAAAUUGCAGGCCAAGGGUGCUCCAACGCAGUUUCCGUAAUAAAACUGAAGCCGAGACUGAUUUUCCUGAGUUUCCUUUUGACGACACUUCAUGUUCCUCAAAGAACUUCCACCUGUCAGCAUCCCCAUUGCUGACAGCAGAACUACAUUCAGAAUUUGAACUCCCUUCUGCAACCAGAACUUUCCUCUCCUUUGCCGCAGAAAAUAAAUCACUAAUAGGCCCGUAAAAUGCAUUGUGAUUUGUUCUGUUAGGAGGCUGCGGGAAGAUGGUUAAACUCUCCCUUAUCCAUUGGCAUUGUUCUUCUACACUCAGUGCUCCAGGAACGAAAUAAAAUCCUGUAACGUUUCCAAAAGGAGAUACCAAUUCAAAUCCGUAUAACUAAUUUUCUUUUGUUCAAGCGGUAUUCUAAUUAUAUGUAAUCUAAACUACUAGAAUGGGGAUUCGAACUUUGGUGCGACUUAGGGUGAACACUGCUCUAGUCAACUUGGCUACGCCAGGUCUAUAAACUGAAAUUAGUCAAUUCAAAUCCCUAUAGUACUAGUUACUAACGAACCGCGUAUGAAUUCAAAUCCCUAAAAUACAUUAGCAUUCAUCCAAUGUAGGAGAAAUAAAAAAAAAAUUGAGUGCAUCAAAAGCAUAUAAUGGAAUUAUGAAAAUGCAUUGACAGAGAAUAGGCUGUUGCCUGGGCGAUUUUCUAUGGAGAAGACGGGUCCGUCAAAACCGCAUUGAACCGGAACGAUUCCCGGCAGGAGCACAGCCUUCUGAUUGUAGGAUUCUAGAAUUGACUUGAAAUCCAAGACCUGGGAUAAAUCCACCGGUUUCGGUUUCCUUUUCCUGAUAAACAAACGAAAUUGCACGUUUAAUUAUUUACGAAAUUGGAGUCGGAAUCGGAAUCGUCAAAUUACAUGUUCGGGAAUUGAAUUACUUUUUGGAGGAUUUGUAAGUGUCUUCGUAGUACAGCUUGUACUUCUUCUCCGCUCGUCUGAAAGCGGUUCGCUCCGAAUCAUCCGGGACCGUACCGGAUUCGGAUCCGUACAUUUCGGCGAGUCGCCUCGGGCGGCGAUGAGUUAACUCGGGGCCGGGAAACAGAGUGAGCAAGGUAGUCGGAGAGGGGGGUUUCACUAGGGUUUGAUCGCGCGGUUGCAGCACUUCGGCGGUAAUUUCUUAUAGCCCUCCAAAUUCCACGGAAAAGACUUUUAAGCCCUUACUGAUGCUGCUCACUAACCCAAUUUCAAAGGAUAAUUUCGUCUUUCUCAAUUUCAAAGAAUCUCCUUAAAUUAUCUUCUGGGACAGAGAAAGGAAAACAAAAGAAAACACGAAACAAUCUCCUCGGAAUCCAAAAAGGACCAGAAAUGGCGUGCAGGACUGCGCUACGAUCCGCUCUGCUAAUAGAAGCGUGGCGACCCGUUCAUUUCGCUCGGAGCUCCGCCUCCGCCUCGUUCAGGACCCGCGGGUUCUCCUCCCCCAGGCUGAGCCGCCACUUCAGGACCCGGGACAUCCACUUCGCGCGACGGACUCACCUCAACCGCGCCCACAACGAGAACUCGUCGGAUUUGUCGGAGGACGACCAGGGCCCGCCGCAAGAGGCCAUCUUGAAAGCAAUUUCAGGUUUCGCUCGCCUCCGAGUCUCAGAAAUUUAUAUGCUUAUAAUAUUAAUUUUUGGUAUUUUUUGACUCGUUUUUGGUGUUGAAAUUGGAUAUAGAGGUUUCAAAGACUGAAGGGAGAGUUGGGCAGACGACGAAUGUGGUUAUCGGAGGCACGGUGGCGGAUGAUUCUACGAAUGAAUGGGUCGACUUGGAUCAGAAGGUAUUGAUAAACCAUUGAUUUGCUUUUGAUUAAUUUUGAUUCAGCAGCUGACUUUUAACGCUUAGGAAUAAGUGAAUAAUAUUUUCAACGUGGUUGUGUAUAUAAAAUGGUGUUAAUUUGUGUUAUCUAAGGUAAAUUCGUAUCCAACUGUUAGAGGGUUCACAGCAAUUGGAACUGGAGGGGAUGAUUUUGUGCAAGCUAUGGUUGUUGCCGUCGAAUCCGUAAUUCAACAACCGGUCCCUGAGGUAUACAUACUUACGUACAAUCACAAUAUAUGUGUAUAUAACCCUUGUUGUGACUGCCCAUCAUUUGCAGUUAUUUGAUAGAUAUAUUUAUGAAUUGGUCUAAUGCAUGUAUUUGCAAGCAUUAUGGGUACCUUGCUGAAAUCAAACCAUUAUGUGGACGUACAAGUACACUUGUGUAGUUCAGUAGGCUGUUGUUUCUUUCGGAUCAAAUUGUUGCACAUUGUAUUUCAUUGAGUGUAUCAAUGUUCAUGAAAUGUAUUUUUUUAUGCAAGCGAUGUUGGGGGAGGGGGGAAGCCAACCUAGGACCUCGGGUGCAUGGGUAAAUGAUUUUGACCACUUCAGCUACAAGCCCCGUGCUUUAUUACUUGUGUAUUGAGUAGUUCAAUUGGAGAUGAAUAGAAUAGGAAACUGGCAGCUAAUUUCUGAGUUGAUUUCUUGAGUAUGUAAAUUUAUAGACUGAAACAAGUGAAUUAUGAUAGCCAAAGAGGUGCUUGUUGUCUUAAAUAAUGCGAGGACAUAUUAUUGCAAUGUCAAGUAUAUGCUAAACUAUAAGCAGAGACGUGGUGCAUUGGAGUUGUUUCUUAGACUUAUGUGUAUGUCCUUGAAAUUAUGAUCGGUAGGCUUAAGGUAAUUUUAUUAUUUAUUAGGGUCAAGAGGAGACCUUAUAGCGAUGUAUUCUACCAUGCCCCUCCUGCCCUCUAUUUUUGUACAGAACAUUAUGAUUCCAACCAAAGUAAAGUGUCACUGUAGUUUGGGGGCAAGAAUUUUAAGAUGUACUGGUAGACAGCCUGAGGAAUUUUUAGAUGUACUGAUGGACAGUUUUAUGAGAAACAAGGAGCAGCUUUGACCGGUUAUCAUGAUGGAAAACUAAUCAUGGUUUAUGCAGUUGCCACUGAGAAAUAUCUUAUUGGAAGUUCAAAGCUCCUGAAAAGGAGUGAGAAAGUGAUAAGAGGCUAAGAGUAUGAAAUGUGCCAGAAAAGAUGUUGAGCAUAUACUAGGUUUGAAUUUGAAAAUGCGGUGCAAAGAGUUGGGCAGGCUGCAUAUGUCGUAAAAGGAACUAACCAACUUCUCUUUUGAGUGUGGUAGGUACUUUGCCAAUCAUUGAUUAAAAGAGGAUCUGUUGGCUAGAAAAAAAUGUGGUAUACGUCUUGCCCUUAGUGCUCAUAACUGAAACUAGCUCUUGAUGUGAACUUGUUGAGGGUAAACAUGGAACCAACCAUAUGGGAACUGACUAAUAGUUGAAUUUGAGCAUAGUUUAGUGUUCUCGCUGAUUUAAGAUGGCUCAGAAACAGGCAUAGCAAAUGGUCUGCGGACUUUGCUCCCUCUAGGCUAUAGCCAAAUGCUUAUCUAUUGGGAUGCAUUUUGAAGUAUAGACGGUUGAGUGGAAUACGAACCUGACAAAUUAAGAUCAAUGGGUGCCAAAUUAUUAUUAUUUUUCCUAACGCCCGAUUGUAUGGAUUUUUCACCAAUAAGAUAAUUGUGAAUGGAAGGAACAUAACACUUAAAGAACUGGGAGUUUUUGUCUUCUUGGCUUGGUCUCAAUUGCUAGUAAUCAUGACUUGACAUUUGUUUUAAUUUAAACUUAGUAUAAGGUGAAAAGUGAAAUUCAUUUACUCCAAAGGGCUUAUGUGGUAGGUCGUAGGAUGGUGCAACAUGUAACAGCAAAUUCAGCAAUCCUUGUGCUGCAAUCCAUCCUUGUGCUGCAAUCCAUUUUGUUGCCCCUUUUGAAUUAAGAUGAAAAAUUUGAGUGUUGAUAUGGUUGCUGAUGUCUGAUCUAUCAAGUGCACAAGUUCAAUUCACUCACAAAUAAUGAAUGCAAAAGUUAGAUGGAGCUUAUAUGCUCUUUUUUAUGGCAGGGUCAUGUGAGGCAGAAGGUAUCAUCAAGGGGAAAAUAUGUAUCUGUAAACAUUGGACCCGUUCAAGUAAUUUCAAGUGAACAGGUUUUCCCCUCCCUCCCCUGCACUCUCGCCAUGAAUUUGCUAAUGUUAUUUCUCUAUAUCCAUUAUGCAGACAAUCUUCAGGCAAUAAAUGGAUAACGAUUAUAAUUUGAUGACGUGGAAUUGUAUUGUGAUUUCCAGGUCCAAGCUGUAUACAAUGCCAUGAGAAGAGAUGAUCGGAUGAAAUACUUUUUGUAGUGGAAUACUCCAUUUUUAUCGUGCAUCUGUACAGAGUGCCAAUUUCUAGCGUCCUCCCCAGUGCCCUUCUCAAGUCUGGUUCAGAUUUGGGCUAAUUCAUGAUACUAGCGAUCUGAGCAGUCGUUCAAAAUCUAUCCAUCUACUCGCUCGGGAUGUAUUUAGGUAUAAUUCAGAAAGUAGGCAUUCAUCAAUCUGUAUUACUCGACUAUAUGUUACUGAUUAUAUGAAAGGCCAGAUUCUUAGCAGUUUCCUGCUAUUUUUUUUCUUUAAUGUCGGUUUUAGAAGUAUAAGAAACGAGUCGAUUUUAGUCGUAAUUUUUUAGGGGUAAUUUGUUUGAGGUCACGAAAUAUUUUCAUCAUAUUUGAGUAAUGCAAACCAAUUAUUCGUAAAGCAAUAAUGUGUUUGGUUGGAGAGGAGAUGCUCCCGACAUAUCAGUUGAGCAAAAUUCCACUCGUGUACUGCAAACACAUGCAGCGUUUUGCUUCCAAUCUUUGGCUUAAAGGAGCAACCAAAUCGCUGCCAUGCGGCGUCUCGUACACAAUUGACCUUUUGCAAUCAACCAGCGUUGGAAGGGGCUAACGCUAAAGUGAUCGAACAAAUCCAACACUAAGUAUCAUUCUUAAAGAACGAUAACACGACUAAUGUUAAUUCGGUCUAACGUCACUUAGUUUCACUUUGUUUAACGAGAUUUUGAGUUCAAAUAUCGUGAACGACAGUUAUACACAAGUUAGCUAGUGAUUGGAUUCCAAGCAGCAUGCGUGUAAUAGUUCAUGGAUGUGAAUGUUUAGGACCACAUCUACUUUUGAAUUAUGGUUGGGAUUAAUUUAAAGCAUUAUAUUGAUAAUCAUACUUAAGCCCACAUCAUUAGGCAUGUAAAUUAAUCCAUGCUUUGGGGAAACAAUAUUUUUCUUUAUAUAUCUAAACUACAAAAAGUGACAUUCAAACUUGAGUGCAGAGAAAAAAACAUAAUGCUUUAAAAUAAAUUAACGCAUGAUUUUACGAGUCCCUAUCAAUUUUAGAAAGAUCCCUGAAUGCAUGCCCUCCUCAACGACUCGCCAUCUCUCCCAACAAUUUAAUUAAUCUUUGAUGACCUAAUACUUGGUACCUUUAUUAAUUUACUGCUACUUGUUGCCAUUUCAUCGUCUCCAACUUUUUUAUAUCCUUAUUUUUUGGAACUUAGAUCGAUCGACGCAGUCACGCAGGCAUUUCGGUAGAAAAAAUAUACAAACUCAAGGUGACACAUGUUUAAAAUUCAAAACUUGAACCAUACCUACUUUGUUAAUUUUUUGGUUUGACUCAACCAAGCAUUAUGUUACCCAUUUACAAGUAAAUUUGAUAAUGAUUGCUUACUUGAAACGGAGAAAUAAUAAAUCUGAAAAGUUAGGAAUAAGAAUGAAAUGGUACAUGGUCACCUAUUUUAUCAAUGUAAUUUUUGGUUUUUUAGGUAUUAGAUUAUAGAUUAAUGUAAUGUGAAACUCGUAUACUUUUUUAUUCUGCAUGUGGCAGUAAAGGAAAAAGUAAUGAAUUCGGGAAGUUAAGAAUAAGGGAGAAGAAAAUGGAACAAGAUCACUUAAUUCACAUAGUCAAUGUAAUUUAUGAUUUUUCAAAUAUUAAAUUACUAAUUGUAAUGUGAUCAUGUGUGUGUAAGCAAAAAUUGAGAAAGUCAGGAAUUUGAAUAAUUUAAAUACAUAUUCCAUGUAAACCUACCAUAAACCUCUAGAAAUCAAGAUUGUACACAAGGGUUAAUUAACCUUAAUAAUUAUUGUUAGCUGAGCUAAUCAAGGUGAAUAUAUAAUUGAAUAAACUAUGAUUGAUAUCCUACCUAAAUGCUGUGUGUGGGUAUUGCUUUCAUCACUUGCUGGCAUUGCUCUCUUUGUCUUGAAGAUAUAUGGUUUUAUUUUAAUCUUUCAAUUUGAUACCCCACCCUGCAGCAUAUAAUCUUCAUAUAACAAAAGACUAGUCUCAAGUCUUCACGACCGCCUUUCUGGUUCGACAUUUCUGUUUCCUCUCCCAAUUUUCUAUGUUCUGCUUCUGAAGGAGUGAGAAGCAACAUGGGAAGAAACAAACAAGAAAAAGACACCAUGAAUCGCAAACUCAAGGUACAUAUAUACGUGUGUGUGUGUGUAUAUAUUUCCAUAAACCUUUCUCUGUAACUGUAUUAUUACUUCAAAGCUGCUCCUAAUUGGCAUAAGGAAGUGAUUUACGUUCAUUCAUUCUCUCCAUGUGCACAGCCCGUUAAUUUCAGUCGCUUGGUUCUCUUUGGUUAUUCAAUCCAAAGGCCAGAGAUAAAUAGGGUGUGCAUGAAGAGAAAAUGAGUGUUUGGAAAUCACUUUCCGUUGACAUAUCUUGGCAUAGUGAAAUUGGCUAGAGCAUUAUGCUCUCUCUCUGCACUCAAGUUCAAAUUGUUCUCCCCGUAGUUGAGAUAAUUAGAAUAAGGAAAAAUAUUGUUGCUAAAUGUGAGCUGUAAAUUUCCAAUUCUUUGCUCUUUAGGAUAUAGUAAGAGGUGAACUCCAAGGACUGGCUUCAGGUUCUUCACCAAACUCAAGAACUCAAGAUGGAAGACCAAGCAGCAUGAUAGUUAAGGUUAGUGAAUUCUAUCCCCUACUUUUUUCCUUUUUUAAUCGUGACGGUCACAUCAUCAUGUGGUACUACUACUAAUUUACGUGUUAACUGAGUUCCGCCAUACUUGUUUGAAUCACAGAAGGCAAUCACCAUGUUUCCUGCUCACUUGAUAGCAGAAGCCAUAUCCUCACUCAGAGGCCUUGAUCUGAGAUGGUCAGGUCCAAUCACACCAAGUGAGAUGCUCUAUGUUCAGCAAUACAUCUUCGCAAAGUACCCAGAAUACUGCAAUGGACUAGUGGAAGAUGUCGAAAAACUAUACAUCGAUAAUCUUUUGAUCAACAAAGAAUCCUCAGGAACUCCACCCUAUGAUAAGCUCAAGUUACCCAAGAGUGUGACAGCAAAGGAGUUGUCCCCAUUCAGCAGCACUCACUCCGACUUGGACAGGACUAAGAUGGAACCCUCAAGACUUCUCGACAUCCUGACCAAGAAAUCCUCGUUCCAGGGUAACUUUGUAUCCAUUCCUGAGGUCCAAGCAAGGAAUAGGGCAUUGAAGCAAUGUGGGUUGCAAGAGGAGGACUAUUUAGUCAUUUUCAUGUCAAAUUACAAAGAUGCAAUGGUGAUGAUUGGUGAGAGCUACCCUUUCUUCAGAGGAAAUUACUAUAUGACCAUUGUGGGAAAGGAGACUGAUCCCAUAAGGGACUUUGCAAGUACCAAAGAAUCUAGGGUUAUUUCAGCACCAGAAACUUGGUUGGAUUUGAGGAUAAAAGGGUCACAACUUAGCCAGUACUUUAGGAGAAAGUGCAAGUAUAGUCCCAAAGGAAUGUUUUCCUAUCCUGCCACUGUCAAUGGGACUAAAUACUCAAUGCAUUGGAUCUCGGAGGCACAUAGGAACUCAUGGCAUGUCCUGCUUGACGCAACCGGCUUGGUUUUGGGGGAGGACCGGUUAACGCUUGCGCUGUACCGACCGGAUUUUGUGAUGUGCACCCUCAACAAUACACACACCCAGCCAUCCAGCAUCACUUGCCUCUUGGUCAGGAAAAACACAUUUGACACUAUGACUAAUCCAGCCUAGGGUUUCAUCAUGAUAUUGCUUUUUGUAACAAUAAACAUGUGUAAUUUUUAUUGCUUUAUUAUUCCUGUGAACUCUAAUUUCAUGGACCUGAUUGUACGUGUAAAUGGAGCAUAGUAAGUCUUUCUUUUUCUUGUUCCUACUCCUAUUUUUCAAAACCUAAUAGUCUUGACAUAGGGCAUGUUUUAAUUUCUUCGUUAAGAAGGAAAGAAUUUGUUGGGUAAAGCGUUUACCUUUUGGAUUAUUUCGCCAAUUUUUUCUCCGAACUUAGAGCAACUACUGGUUUCCUCUUCAAACUUUCAUUUGGGCCUAUUCUUCUCCCUCCACAAUCAUUAUAAACGGUUAAUUUCCAACUUAAUGGUUAUGUUUACGCACAAUUUAUUCAAAAAUUUUUUGCUAGAAAAUACUAGGGCUGGAAAAAAAUCCCAAAAAUCCCAAACCAAACCAAAAAAAUCCCGAUCCCAAACCAAAAAAAUCCCAAACCAAAAUUCCCGAAAUUUUCGGGAUGUAAUCCCAAACCAAACCGAAAGUUUCGGUAUGGGAUUCGGUAUUGCAUUUCAUUUUUUCGGUAUUCCCAUACCGAACCGAAAAAAAAAAUAUAUAUAUAUAUAUAAUUUUUUAAUUAUAAGAGAAUUAUUUCAACCGUUGAUUGUUUUGCAUUUAAUCUGUGCCGUUGAUUUCUUUUUUAGGUCAGAUCACAUUUCAUUUCAGUUCCUCCGUUUCGAAGUGCAGCCCUGACCCUUAGCCUCCGGCCCUCACCAACGCUAGCAGAAGUGAGUUCGGGGGAAGCCGUGAAAUUGUCGGUUACAACUACAAAGCGCGCAUUUGGAGAGAGAGUUGAAGACCCUAGCCGAAUCUCCCCCAGUCUCUCUGUGUCUUGUGCGGAGAGCAAAAGAUGCAGAUCUUCGUGAAAACCCUAACGGGGAAGACGAUAACCCUAGAGGUUGAGUCUUCCGACACCAUCGACAAUGUGAAGGCCAAGAUCCAGGACAAGGAGGGCAUCCCGCCGGACCAGCAGCGCCUCAUCUUCGCCGGCAAGCAGCUGGAGGACGGCCGUACCCUCGCCGACUACAACAUCCAGAAGGAGUCCACUCUGCACCUGGUGCUCCGCCUCCGCGGUGGCGCUAAGAAGCGUAAGAAGAAGACCUACACCAAGCCCAAGAAGAUCAAGCACAAGCACAAGAAGGUGAAGCUCGCCGUCCUCCAGUUCUACAAGGUCGACGAUUCCGGGAAGGUUCAGAGGCUGAGGAAGGAGUGCCCCAACGCUGAGUGCGGCGCCGGGACUUUCAUGGCCAACCAUUUUGACAGGCACUACUGUGGUAAGUGUGGUCUCACCUAUGUUUACCAGAAGGCCGGCGGCGACUGAGUUAAACGCACCGUUUAAUAUGUUCGUUUCUGAAACAGAUGGUUAAGUUUAAAUAAUUUUGAUUUAGACUUGGAACGGUGGUUGUUAUGGAUUAUGGUUUAUGUUUCUGAUAUGGUACUUUAGAAUUUUAAUUUCGACUUUGAAGUUCAAAAAAAAAAAAGUACUUUUCGAAAACUAGAGCUCCUUCGAGGAGGAAGAUUACACCACACUUCACGGCAACACACACACACUCCUCCUGUACUCUUUUCACUCCUCUUCCCCCCCCCCCCCCUCUCUCCCCAACUCUCUUUCCUCAACUUCUUCAUCUCCGUCUCUCUCUUAAAAGGUAUGAGUGCUUCUGCUUCUGCUUCUGUUGAUGUUUUGCAGUGUUAAAUGAGCAAGGGGGCCAUAGAAACUUCUUUUCGAACGACUCAACUCAAAGUUGUUUGGGAGCAUAUGCUCCUAUCAAUUUUACCCGGGACACACAAAAGAAGUACUUUGAUCCUAUUAGACGGGGGAGGGUGAAGAAGCUAGGACAGAAGGGUAGAGUUCAAGAGAGCAAAAUGCGUUUAGGAACGUGGAAUAUAGGAACCUUAACGGGAAAAUCUAUGGAAAUAGUGGAAGUUAUGGUGAGGAGAAGGAUAAAUAUUAUGUGCCUACAAGAAACUAAGUGGGUUGGUAGUAAGGCAAAUGAUCUAGAAAACUCAAGGUUUAAACUUUGGUAUUCGGGCACAAAUAGAACGAGAAACGGUGUUGGCAUCAUCGUGGACAAGACCUUGGUACAAGAUGUUGUAGAUGUCAAGAGGGUAGGAGAUAGAAUCAUGGCAAUCAAGAUUGUAAUAGGACAAGAACUUAUCAAUGUGAUUAGUGCGUACGCACCUCAAGUAGGGUUGGAUACGAGUUCGAAUGAGCAAUUUUGGGAAGAUCUUGGAGACUUGGUGCAAGGAAUUGCUCAGACGGAGAAGUUAUUUAUAGGAGGAGAUUUAAAUGGACACGUGGGCAGGGAGACAGGCAACUAUGGAGGUUUUCAUGGUGGCCAUGGUUUUGGGGAGAGAAACGAGGAUGGGGAAGCUAUCUUGGAUUUUGCAAUGGCAUAUGAUCUCUUCUUAGCCAACACCUUCUUUAAGAAGAGAGAAGAACAUGUGAUCACCUACAAGAGUGGGUCGUCAAAAACACAAAUAGAUUUUCUUCUAAUGAGGAAAGGGGAUCGUAUAACUUGUAAGGAUUGCAAAGUUAUACCAGGAGAGAGCGUGGCUAAUCAACAUCGCUUGUUGGUGAUGGAUGUACAUAUCAAAAGAGUAAGACAAAAGAACAAGACUUGGAAGUGCCCAAGGACUAGAUGGUGGAAUCUAAAAGAAGAAAAACAAGUCAUUUUCAAAGAGAAGGUAAUCACCCAAUGUGUGUGGGAUAGAGAGGGGGAAGCUAGCCAAAUGUGGGAUUCCAUGGCUAGUUGUAUCCGAAAAGUAGCAAAAGAGGUAUUAUGAGAGUCCAAGGGCUUUGCCCCACACCAAAAGGAAUCUUGGUGGUGGAAUGAGGAGGUACAAACAAAGGUGAAGGCUAAGAAGGAAUGUUGUAAAGCCUUAUACAAGGAGAGGACCGAUGAAAAUGGUGAAAAGUAUAGAAAAGCGAAGCAAGAGGCGAAAAAAGCUGUCAGAGAAGCUAAGUUAGCGGCCUACGACGAUAUGUAUAAACGACUAGAUACCAAAGAAGGAGAGUUGGAUAUCUAUAAACUAUCUAGAGCAAGGGAAAAGAAGACAAGGGAUCUAAACCAAGUGAGGUGCAUCAAGGAUGAGGAUGGAAAGGUUCUUGCUACAGAGAACGCGGUUAAAGACAGAUGGAGAGGUUAUUUUCAUAAUCUUUUCAAUGAAGGACAUGAAAUGAGCGAUUCUUUAGGGGAGUUGAGUAACUCAGAAGAGUGUAGAAACUACUCUUUUUAUCGUCGAAUCCGGAAGGAAGAAGUGGUUGUAGCUUUGAAGAAGAUGAAGCAUAAAAAAGCAAUAGGCCCAGACAAUAUACCAAUCGAAGUGUGGAAACUUUUGGGAGAGACAGGUAUAACAUGGCUCACUGACCUUUUCAAUAGGAUUUUGAAAACGAAGAAGAUGCCAAAUGAGUGGCGAACGAGCACUUUGGUGCCUAUCUACAAGAACAAGGGCGACGUACAAAAUUGCAUGAACUAUAGGGGUAUUAAGCUAAUGAGUCAUACAAUGAAGCUCUGGGAGAGAGUCAUUGAGCAUAGAUUGAGGCAAGAGACACGGGUUUCGGACAACCAAUUCGGGUUCAUGCCAGGGGCGCUCAACCAUGGAGGCAAUCUAUCUCUUACGAAGAUUGAUGGAAAGAUAUAGAGAUGGGAAAAAGGAUUUACACAUGGUCUUUAUAGAUUUGGAAAAAGCGUAUGAUAGGGUCCCAAGAGACAUUCUUUUGGAGGAUUUUAGAGAAGAAAGGAGUACGAGUAGCAUAUAUCCAAGCUAUAAAGGAUAUGUAUGAAGGAGCAAAGACUGCCGUAAGAACUCAUGAAGGACAAACCGAAAGCUUCCCCAUAACUGUAGGAUUACAUCAAGGCUCAUCCUUAAGUCCUUACCUUUUUGCGUUGGUAAUGGAUGAGUUAACAGGACAUAUUCAAGAUGAUAUUCCUUGGUGUAUGCUUUUCGCAGACGAUAUAGUGUUGAUAGAUGAAACUCAGGAAGGGGUAAAUGCAAAGCUUAACCUUUGGAGAGAAGUGUUGGAAUCUAAAGGUCUUCGCCUAAGCCGAUCAAAGACAGAAUAUAUGGAGUGCAAGUUCAGUGCAAAUGGAGGCCAAAACGAGUUAGGGGUGAGGAUCGGAGAUCAAGAAAUACCAAAAAGCGACCGUUUUCGUUACCUAGGAUCUAUCUUGCAAAAGAACGGAGAAUUAGAUGGAGAUCUCAACCAUAGAAUACAAGCUGGAUGGAUGAAGUGGAAGAGUGCAUCCGGUGUGUUGUGUGACCGCCGUAUGCCAUUGAAGCUCAAGGGAAAAUUUUAUAGGACGGCAAUAAGGCCGGCGAUGCUGUAUGGCACAGAAUGUUGGGCGGUGAAACAUCAACACGUACACAAAAUGGGUGUAGCGGAGAUGAGGAUGCUUCGUUGGAUGUGUGGGCACACGAGAAAGGAUAAGAUUAGGAAUGAGGAUAUCCGGGGUAAAGUAGGAGUAGCCGAAAUUGAAGGAAAGAUGAGAGAAAAUCGGUUACGGUGGUUUGGACAUGUGCAAAGAAGGCCUACUGACGCUCCGAUUAGAAGAUGCGACUAUGGGACAGAGGUUCAGGGCCGAAGGGGUAGAGGAAGACCUAGGAAAACUUUGGAAGAGACUCUAAGAAAAGACUUAGAGUACUUGGAUCUAACGGAGGACAUGACACAGGAUCGAGCACAAUGGCGUUCUAAGAUUCAUAUAGCCGAUCCCACUCAGUGACUUGGAUUUUCCAAGUCUCCAAUCGAGAAGUUUUCCUCACUCGGGAAAUUAAGGGAACACUACCCCAACCUACAUGCUCCACUCAGAAAGCUUCAACAUACAAGCUUCAACAAAAAGAAAAUUCAAAGAACUUAGCGAAGAAGGCUUUGGUGUAUUUAACACAAUACGUUGAAAUGAAGGAAAGCUUAUUUAUUGAUAUCCCCGAUCAGCUACAAAUAUGUACAUAUACAUGAGUCAAAAUAAACACACAAGACGGAGCCUUCACAAAGGUUGCUUAGGAGAAGUCUCAGCAGUCGGUAGAGCCCCAGAAAGAGAAGGCACCGGAGGGGGAUCAUUUGGAGCCUCAGUACUGGACAGAACCCUAGAAGGAGGAGGCAUCAGAGGUUGAUCAUUCGGAGCUUCAUUACGCGGUACAGCCCCAGAAGACGAAGGCAAUAAAUGCCUUUGGAACAAACCCACAAAUCUCUGAUGAUCAAGUAAAACCUGACCAUCAGUUUCCUUCAUCUGGUCAAGCUUCCUCUUCAUGUUUGUAGCAUAGUCAUGUGCGAGCCGGUGCAACUGUUUAUUCUCAUGCUUGAGCCCUCUAAUCUCCUGUUUGAGACUCAUCACUUCAGCCGCCAAGGAUUCAACUUGGCGGGUUCGAGCAAAUAGGCGUUGGGCCAUAUUAGACACAGAACCUGCACACUGAACACUGAGAGCCAACGAAUCCUUAACAGCUAACUCAUCAGACCGUUUGGAAAGUAGUCUGUUAUCUUUGGGAGUGAGAAGGUUCCUGGCCACCACCGCAGCGGUCAUAUCAUUCUUCAUCACGGAAUCCCCAACGGUAAGAGGACCAGUAGGGGAGACGAAGGAUGGGCGCCAUAUGUUGUCUGGAGAAGGCGGGGCUGCCUCUUCAACAAGGUUCAAGUCAAAACGACGGUCGGAGGGGCCAGACAUUUUCAAAGGUGUUGAAGAGAGAAGAGGUCGGACAAAUCAAGAUCUUAGAAGUGCAAGAAUGAAGCUUCUACUGGUGGAGAUUCAAGUGUGCUUUGGAACUUAAUGUCAGCCUCUAUAAAAAUCUGCACUCGACGGAGCUUCGGAAAUCGAAGAGGCGCCUGCUCAGAAAUCGAAGAGGCGUUUGCUUUCUCAAAAGCUGGGCUGCUUAGAGAUCACGAGGGUUGAUCUCAGAAAUCGAAGAGGCGUUUGCUUUCUCAAAAGUUGGGCUUCUCAAAGACCACGAAGGCCGAUCUCAGAAAUCGAAGAGGCGCUCGCUUUCUCAAAAGCUGGGCUCCCCAGAGACCACGAGGGCCGAUCUCAGAAAUCGAAGAGGCACCUACUUUUCCAGCCUUGUCAGCACCCGUCACACGCACACUCAGCUUUGCAGAAAUUAUGGGCAUUCUGUCGAAGACUUCUGGGGAAGUAGAAAACACAUGAAUCUUACUGUUCAAUCACCCACUUCCCACACGCAACAAUAGCUCAUGGGUACCACAGAUAACUUUGCCAAAGUUCUCUGCCAAAGUUGAGCACGUGAAGCUUGCAGCUCCCACUACAUCGCUCUGACCAAGAAGGGUAAAAGAAUAGCAAAGAAACAGCACUAACAAAGUUUAGACCCAUAAAUUUUGAAGGUCUAGCUACCAUAUUAUUACCCACAAGGGUAAAGGAACAGUACUAUUGCUGGAUAAUUGGAAAGUCCCUGUGUGUCAACCUCUGUGCUUCGUGGCAAGGUAGACUAGCAAACAUGCCCAACCUUUACUCACAUUCGAGAAAACACUCCCAAUAAGAUUGCUUGCUCCAAAAUCGAAGAGGCACCGUCCUCCGAAUCUCGAGAGCCAGACUCCCAACAUGACUACUUUCUUAAAAAUCGAAGAGAGGGUAAAGGAACAGUACCAUUGCUGGAUAAUUGGAAAGUCCCUGUGUGUCAACCUCUGUGCUUCGUGGCAAGGUAGACUAGCAAACAUGCCCAACCUUUACUCACAUUCGAGAAAAACACUUCCAACAAGAUUGCUUGCUCCAAAAUCGAAGAGGCACCGCCCUCCGAAUCUCGAGAGCCAAACUCCCAACGUGAUUACUUUCUCAAAAAUCGAAGAGACACUGCUCCCCGAAUCCUCGAGAGCCAGACCCCCAGCAUGAUUGCUUUCUCAAAAAUCGAUGAGGCAUCUUUCUCCGAAUCAAUCGAAGAGGCGCUCGCUUUCUCAAAAGCUGGGCUGCUCAGAGACCACGAGGGCCGAUCUCAGAAAUCGAAGAGGCACCUACUUUUCUAGCCUUGUCAGCACCUGUCACACGCACACUCAGCUUUGCAGAAAUUAUGGGCAUUCUGUCGAAGACUUCUGGUGAAGUAGAAAGCACAUGAAUCUUACUGUUCAAUCACCCACUUCCCACACGCAACAAUAGCUCAUGGGUACCACAGAUAACUUUACCAAAGUUCUCUGCCAAAGUUGAGCACGUGAAGCUUGCAGCUCCCACUACAUCGCUCUGACCAAGAAAGGUAAAAGAAUAGCAAAGAAACAGCACUAACAAAGUUUAGACACAUAAAUUUUGAAGGUCUAGCUACCAUAUUAUUACCCACAAGGGUAAAGGAACAGUACCACUGCUGGAUAAUUGGAAAGUCCCUGUGUGUCAACCUCUGUGCUUCGUGGCAAGGUAGACUAGCAAACAUGCCCAAACCUUUACUCACUUUCGAGAAAACACUCCCAACAAGAUUGCUUGCUCCAAAAUCGAAGAGGCACCGUCCUCCGAAUCUCGAGAGCCAGACUCCCAACAUGACUACUUUCUCAAAAGCGAAGAGAGGGUAAAGGAACAGUACCAUUGCUGGAUAAUUGGAAAGUCUCUGUGUGUCAACCUUUGUGCUUCGUGGCAAGGUAGACUAGCAAACAUGCCCAACCUUUACUCACAUUCGAGACAACACUCCCAACAGGAUUGCUUGCUCCAAAAUCGAAGAGGCACCGCCCUCCGAAUCUCGAGAGCCAGACUCCCAACAUGAUUACUUCCUCAAAAAUCGAAGAGACACUGCUCUACGAAUCUCGAGAGCCAGACCCCCAGCAUGAUUGCUUUCUCUCAAAAAAUCGAAAAGGCAUCGUUCUCCGAAUCUCGAGAGCCAGAUACCACAGACCACUUUUUCAAAGUGCUCUGACAGAGUUAAAACAUGUGAAACUGGCAGCUCCCACUACCGUGCUAUGACCAAGCAGGGUAAAGGAAUAGCAUUACUACUUGUUGUUAGGGAGACUCCUAUAUAUGUCGACCUCCAUCCCCAACGGACAGGCAGACCUGCAAAAAUGCUCAACCUUUCAUCAUAUCUGAGAGGGCACUCCCAACGAAGCCUUUCGAAAUAUUCAGCUUUCUUUCCCCCCGAUAAUACCUCUGCAAACAAGCUAUACUAGAGCAAGAAUAUCUCAUAUCAUCAGGGUUAAAAAGCAAGAGUAUCCCAUAUCAUGCUUUUUUUCCCUGUCUUUUCCUUUGGCCUUGUUUUUACCUGCAAGACAAGGAGAAAGAGAGCAAUCAGUCAGCACUUGGAUCAAGCUUCCAGCCAGGAACUGACUGCCUGGAACCCCUUACCUGAUUACUUACCUGGCAUUGCUCUCGAGUACUCAUCUUCAACAUCUUAUGUUUCCAGGGAAGAUUCCGCAUCUGCUUGAGGAACAGAUAGGGCAAGUGCGAAGGAUACAAGGAAGCAUGUGGAGACAAGCGUAACAGCACACGUGCCGAUACACCCAUUACUCUGUCAAAAGCAAAAGUAUCCCAUAUCAGCAGGGUGGAACGUACUCUAGAUUUGAUGGACUUGUUUUGACCCUCAAAUUCUUCAGUCGGCCUUAUUACUCUGGAGGAAACCAGAAAACCCUCCAGCUCAGUUCAAGAAUAAGCCUGUGGAAAGUUACUUCUUCAAAAGCAAAAGUAUCUCAUAUCAUCUCUUCUCAUUUUUCUUCUCUUUAUCCUUCAUGCUGCUGCAAGAUGGGGAGAAGGUGAACAAUCAGUCGGAGCUCUGAUUGCUUACCUUGUCUGUCACCUCUUUCAGCAGACCCCCUAGCUCGGCGACUUGGGGACUCCUACUACAUGGUUUGUAUCGCGCUUGACCAAGCCUGAGACUACAAGUAAGCUUCAAGUGAAAUUGAUACAUUACCUUGUGCAUCUCCACCAGUUAAAGAUACCACCCCUGGAUGGAGGAAGAGUACUUCCAGAGAAGAUGCCACAUCUACCUAUGAGACAGAUAAGGCAAGUCAAGACGACACCACACUCCGAUACUUAGAAGUUUCGUGAUUACGAGAUCAUUCUCCCACAAUAUUUCCUAAUGUCAUUUGUACUAAAUCAUUCACUUGUACUCACUAAAGGAGAGCUUGAACCUAUGUACUUGUGUAAACCCUUCACAAUUAAUGAGAACUCUUCUAUUCCGUGGACGUAGCCAAUCUGGGUGAACCACGUACAUCUUGUGUUUGCUUUCCUAUCUCUAUCCAUUUAUAUACUUAUCCACACUAAUGACCGGAGCAAUCUAGCGAAGAUCACAAAAAGCGACCGUUUUCGCUACCUAGGAUCUAUCUUGCAAGAGAACGGAGAAUUAGAUGGAGAUCUCAACCAUAGAAUACGAGCUGGAUGGAUGAAGUGUAAGAGUGCAUCCGGCGUGUUGUGUGACCGUCGUAGGCCACUGAAGCUCAAGGGAAAAUUUUAUAGGACGGCAAUAAGGCCAGCGAUGUUGUAUGGCACAGAAUGUUGGGCGGUGAAGCAUCAACACGUACACAAAAUGGGUGUAACGGAGAUGAGGAUGCUUCGUGGGAUGUGUGGGCACACGAGAAAUGAUAAGAUUGGGAAUGAGGAUAUCCGAGGUAAAGUAGGAGUAGCCGAAAUUGUAGGAAAGAUGAGAGAAAAUCGGUUCCGAUGAUUUGGACAUGUGCAAAGAAGGCCGACUGACGCUCCGGUUCGAAGAUGUGACUACGGGACAGAGGUUCAGGGCCAAAGGGGUAGAGGAAGACCUAGGAAAACUUUGGAAGAGACUCUAAGAAAAGACUUAGAGUACUUGGAUCUAACGGAGGACAUGACACAAAACCGAGCGCAAUGGCGUUCUAGGAUUCAUAUAGCCGACCCCACUUAGUGGGAAAAGGCUUUGUUGUUGUUGUGUUGUUGUAUUGAUUUUUGAGAGAAAUGUUGGAAGUAAAUGAAGAAAAUUAUUUUUCCAUAUUGUUGCCACUGCAAAAGUCACCAAGUUGAUAUAACUACAGAUUGUACUUCUCUUGUUUAAUUUUCACUUUUAAUUUGAGGUAUUGAGGGUUUACUGGUUAUAAAUUUUGUACUUGUAGAAACUCAUUUUAGGUUCAUUCAAUUUAUAGGAGUUAUAUAGCAGUGAAGCAUAGGCAUGUUCAAGGUUUCAUUUUUAAGCUGAUGAUAAAAAUUGGGGCUGUUACAUUCAGUGGGCAUGGCCCAAUAUUAGGUUUUUGUCCAAUUGGACCAAUAUUAGUUUUUUUUGUCCAAAAGCCCAAAAGCCCAAAAUUAUUUCGGGAUUCCCGAUUUGUCCCGAAAUCCCGAAACUAUUUCGGGAUUCCCGAAAAUUGGGAUUCCCGAAAAUUUGGUUUGGGAUCGGUAUUGAAAUUGGGAUUCCCGAAAAUUUCGGUAUGGGAAUCGGAACAAGGGUUUCGGUAUGGGAUCCCAUACCGAACCACCCCUAGAAAAUACACAUGCAAAUAACCAAACCCUAGUUUUUCCCAUCGCCACUGGCCUCUGGCUAUGGCUGGGGGCCGGUGGUAGCCUCUCCCUUUCCUUCCUCUUUCCCCUCAUGCCCAUCUCAGCCAUCCUCCACCCCUCACCACACUCUACUUUUCCCACCAUCUCUCUCUGCCUCUUCCCCCCACGUUUUCACUCCCUCCCCUUCCCCGUGCCACCCCCCGGACGCUCCGCCUUCCUGCGCCCGUCCAUUGUUAUUCUAGACCUGGGUCUUUAUCGUCGGGGUUUCACCGUGCAGCUCCACUGCUUUGUUUUGACUUGCUGAUGAGACUCCAAAUCUGUGCAGUGGCCUUUUUCAUGGUUGGUGGCGGUCUCACCUUCUGGGGUAUUGUUUUUCUGCUUCCUGUAACUCCUGGGUAAGGUUUGCUCCAUAGUUGCCCGGCGGCGGCUUUUGGUCUCCCGCUGGGUGGGUGUGCAUAUUUGCCAGCGUCUUUCUUUCGGUUGUUUAGACAUCCGAGGGCUCUGCCCUUGGAUCUAUCGUUAUGUCCUCUUAAGGUUCGUGGUGGUGGUGGGGAUGACGGUUCAAUGGCGUGGGGGGUAUUGGCUUGGCAACCCCUUUACAACCCAUGUCGUUGCCGUUUUUUCUCGCCCUUACUACGACCAACUCCAGUCAAACGAUUCUCCGGUGACCCUUGAUACUUUAUGUUGGCUUGGUUUGUGAUGGUGUUACGAUGUUUACAGUGGCUCUGGCUGGAACCCUUUCUUCCCCACCUCUCUCAGGUCGUCCCAGCUACAGUUGGCGUCGCUCUCAUCCCGACAUUUCUACACUUGACUCGGGCUUUGCUCCCCACGCCUUUUGCCAACUUGUAGAUGCACCACUUGUUUCUUUUGUUUUUUUAGUUUAGUUAUCCAUUACUGGUUUGUUGUUUCGGCCUUUGUGUCGCUUAUGCGAAUUUGUUUUUAGCCUCGCUAUCUAGUUUAGGUUUUUGUAUCGUGUAUGCGGUUUUGUAGCCUCAUUGUCUAUCAUAGGUUUUGGUGUUGGUUCAGUGCUUGGUAUGUCACGUGUCUAUGGGACAUAUCAAUCUCGGAACUCCUCACUCUAGUGGUGUGUUUUGUGUGAUGGCCGUAUAGGGGUAUUUCAAAUCAUUUGUAUUUGUGCUUAUUACCUUCAGAUCAAGAAAUUGAUCACUGAAGUAUAUAUACCCAUUUGGCAUUCUUGUAAGUAUUUGGUUAUGUUAAUGAAAUAUUAUCGUUUCUUCUAAAAAAAAGGAGAAAUAAAUUAAUCAAAAUAGAAGUUCAGAAGAAAAUUAGCAAUGCAUUGCAAGUUAUGGGGCAAAAUCAUAGAAAUAUUCUUACCAUUACAUCGUAGUUUUCUGUCCGAAAAUGGUACAAAAGACAAUACACCGUCAUCGCCUAGAAAUAUUUUCAACAAAAGACUACCGUGUAAAGGUUAGCAUGCCCUAAGUCCUCGAAAUUGUUCCAGGUAUAACCCACAUGUUACGGGUGACUAGUCAAUCAUUCCAGUUGACCGAAGAGGUUUACAAGACAAGUUAACAAUGAAUCAAGGACCAUACAACCUUUAAAACUUUUAAAAGUCGCAAAGUACCUUACAAAAUUCGAACUCACCAUUAUUGUUCUAUUGAGUGGUCAAUAACAUUCCUGGAUUAUCAUUAAUUAUCUUUCUUUUCACCGAAUAUUUCAGAGACAGGCCACUAAUCAUUUCAUCCAUUUUUUUUUUUUGGUAAAACAUUUCAUCAAUUUAUUAGUGUUUAUAUCAUAAAUGGUUUUUAAAAUUGACUCAAACCAACAAGAUGGUAUUUGAAAUUAAAAAUUGACCAAUGUAGUCCCUGAAAAUAUGUGUCACAAAUCAAUAUAGUCAUUUUGUCACAAUUCGUCAAAAAUUAUGUUAUGUGCUAAUGUGUCAUAUAAAUGGGGUCCACAAUACCUAAGUGUUUGUAUCACGAAUAGUCUCUGAAAUUGACUCACACCAUCAAGAUGGUCUCUAAAAUUGAAAAUCAAUCAACGUAGUCCUUGAAAACAUAUAGGUGUCGUAAAUCAAUGUGAUCAUUCGUCACAAUUCUGUCAAAAAAAAUUAUGUGCUAAUGUAGGUUUAAUAACUAAUUAAAAAAAGUUGUCAAAACACUUUUUUCCACAUUGAGAUUAUGUCAAGGUAGAGCUUGCCGUUCUCCGUAUGACCAAGAUAAUCGAGGGAGCUCCCAACAAGCUCACCAAGAUUAAGGUUGUGAGGCUAUCGAUUGCCCAAAUAUUGACGAUGGAGUCACUGAAGUCGUCACCACUCCAAGUCGUCACAAAAUAUAGUUUCGAUCGUGGUCCAAUUCAAUGAAAGGUGUAAAGAUGAGUGGCUUGAGAUUUUUUGUUGUUGUUUUUUUUUUCCAGAAAAGAAACGGUGAAGGCUACCAUAGAUGGAGGUAGAAGAGUAUAGGUUGGGAUCAUAGAUGAAUGCGGUACCGAGUUUCUGGAUCGACAACUUUUUUAAUUAAUUAUCAAAUUAUUAAACCUAUUUAUAGUUUAAUUUUGUUGUUUUAGUUAGACUUGUAAGUCCAUUUAUGUGCCACAUCAGCACAUAACACAAUUUUUUUACAGAAUUACGACGGAAUGACCACAUUGAUUUACAACACCUAUUUUAGGACCAAAAUGAUCGAUUUUCAAUUUCAAGGACCAUUUGUGAUUAAAAAAGGACCUGUUAGACCCAUUUAUGUGUCAUAUCAGCACAAAAUAAUUUUUUUUACAAAACUGUGAUGGAUGAACCACAUUUAUUUGCGGCACCUAUUUUCAUGGACUACAUUUUAAAUUUCAGAUACCAUCUUGAUGGUGUCGAUCAAUUUCGUGGAUCAUUUGUGAGAAAACCCACCCUAUUUAUUAAUAUUUAAAAAAAAACUAAUUGUUAUGAAAUUAUGAUUAACUAUCACAUUUUAUCCAUUAUCGUACUGUGAAAACGGUUUAUAAUUUAAUAAAAAAAGGUAAAAUUAUUUCUCUAAAAGUAAAAAAGAGAGCAGCCAUUAGUAAGAGCAAUGUUAUUCUUACCAUCUAAAUAUACCAUAAUUUCAUACCAUUUUAUGUGGCAAUUGAGAUGGACAUCCACACAAGUUAAAAAAAUCCCAUGUCAGCUAAGGUGGAUAUUUACGAUUUUACUCAAUGAUUUUUAUUAAUAAAAUAAUUAAAAAAUAAUAAUGAAACCUACUUGCUCCCGUUUUCAAGCCUCAUCGCUGGGCCUCCUCCCUCUUCGCUCUCCAAUUUCACCUUCCUUCACCGACGAUCGAUGGUGCUCGAUCCCCUUCAUCACUGCUAACGGGCCAAAUAUCCUGAUGGUGCUCCCAGUGAUUGUUUUGCUCUGCCACCAAAUCAAGUUUGCAAUUUUAAUGGUUUAUGCCUUCUAGCCAAAUGUUGGAUUUCAUAGGUUUUUAAUUCCAGCAACAUUGAACAAAAAUAUGAGAAGGAUUGGAUACGAUAUUUUCUUUUCUGUUCCACUGCUGAGGAUUUUCCGAAUGGAAGAAGAUUUAGAAGACAACCUCUUUUCUUCUUUCUUCAUGGACUUUUGGUUAGCACCAAAAUCUUUUCCUAAUCCUCUAUAGGAAUGAAAAUUUCAUUCCAUGUUAUCUCCCGAUGUUGUCCAAGGCUUUGGCUUGAAUUUUCAUUGGAAUUAUAAUUUGUUGGACUCAUAUCAGGUAAGUUGAACGGGUAGGGUUUAAGCAAAAAUUAAAUUAAAUUAAAAUAAACAGAAAUUCUACCUAGGUUGAAACCUAACCUUCCACAUCACGUACUAUAAUAAGAUGGUAAGAAUAGCAGUAGUAUAUCCAAUGGCCGUUUCGACCGCCGCGCUAUUUAGCAAAAACGUUCGCCGUCACCGUGCGUCACGUUAGCGACGGAGGGGAUCUCAAAGUGCCAGAGCCUCCCUACUGCCUUAACCAAGAACUUCCUGCAGAGGAACUCCUCAGCGAACGCCUUCUCCACCUUCCGAUCCACAUCGUGAAGGAACACGUGCGUCACACCGGAUCCCCGCCUCCUCCUCGCCAUGACAGCCGCAGAGAAUAUAGCCCCCAUCCGCCCCGGCGCUUCCGGGAAAUACCCGCGCGGCGCAUCGACCAUGAUCAGGUCCCACUCCUUGUCGUACACGUCGUCCGGCAGGUUGUCCAGCGCCAGCCUGCACUCGGUAUUUCCGCGCAGGACGGCCUCGGACGGGGAGCACGACCGUUGGGAGCGGUACGAGGAGAGGAGCUCGUCCGCCUCCUUGAGCUGCGUGCGGUAGCGCACCGUCUCCGCCCGCAGCUGGGGGGCGUCCUUGAGGACUGUCUGGACCCACUUGGGGUCCUCCUCCAGGAAGAGCGUCGUGCCUCGUGGAUUCAGGGAGGCCCACAUAAGGGAGUCGAAGCCUAGGCCGAACACGAGGAAGUUGCAGGGGGAGCGGGACUUGAGGACCUCGAAGGACACAGUGAUCUCGUCUCGCGACUGCUGCGGGGUCUGGCUCGACGUGGCGUAGUGGAGGAUGGCCUGGAGCUGGAUGGCCGCCGGGGCAUCGUCGACGGCGCGGAGAAAUGUGGGUCCGGCGAUGGAGUAGAAGACGGAGUUGCCAUCCUGGAAGAAGCUGGAGAUCGCUAACCCCGCGCCGAUCAGUAGAACCAGAAUGACGACGAGAAACACGGGUCUCUCCGACAAUGGACUCCGAUUCUUCAUGUUAAUUUUUUAAUAAUAUUUAAGAAAAAUAAAAAAGUGAAAAUGUAAAAGGGUAAAUCUGCAUAAUAUAUAUGUCGAUUGAGAUUUUAGGUUCCGACGUGCGGUGGUUUAUAUAAAGCUGGGGAAUGGGAAUGGGAAGAAGGGGAAGGGGAAGGUAAUUUAAGCAGAGAUUGGUAGGGGAGCCUUUGGAGUGUUAGGGGAGAGAGACGCAGAUGAGUUGACGUAAAGAAUUGAAGGGGCUUAUCUUGUAGGAUAGGAGAGUAGUGUCCGAUUGGCUUUUGGGGUGCCAUGUGGCAUGCAGAAUCUGAGAGUGGGCCCUUCAUUCCUUCCAGGUCCAGUUGUUGAGCUUAUCUGGAAAAAUCCCGUGGCUUAGAUUGCAAGUCAGAGCCACCAGCGGCGAAACCAGUAACUGACGCGGGGGGGAGGCAAAUUUAAAAAAUUGUAAAGUUAAAAAAAAUAGCAACAACCAAAUCCUUUUAAACAGUAAUGUCUUCUAUAAUUUAAGCAUUGUUUGAAGGAGGAUUUGAGCAUUGUUAGUAUCGUUUCAUUACGUAACUAUAAAAUGGAAGGGAAAAUAAUAAUUCUUACACUCUUAAUCCUAGAGUAGACUAUAUUAAUAUGUAUAAUAAUUAAUCCAACCAACAAUUCAAUUAAGCAAUACCAAUAAGCACACAAAUUAUUCAAUAAAUAAAAUAUUCAAUUCAACUAAUCAUAUGAAUACUUGUAUACAUUAUGUAAUAUUCAAUUAAUUAAUCAAUAAUCAAGAAUUCAAAUUUUAAUUUUCACCCUAAAAAAUAAUUUUAAUUUCAUAUCAAUAAUCAUAGAAUCAGAUCAAUAAUCAAUAAUCAUAUUAGUACAUUACCAUAAAAUUAUAUACCAAUCAAAUAAAAUUUGUAUUAAAUAAUUAAUUAGUUUAGGGUUAGGAAUUGUAAAAUUAGGAAUUAAAAAUUUCACCUUUGAAGGCUGAAGCCGGCGGCUCAACGACUCGAGAAGUGGAGAGUGGCUGAAAGGUUGACAAUUCAAUUCAAAUUAAAAAAUAUAUAUCUUCUGUUGCGAGGGACAACUUUGUUGUGCUCUCUGGCAGAAAGGUUGAAAAACAAAGGGGGGAAGGACACAGGACUGAGAGUCUGAGAGGGACUGAGAGUGAAAGGGGGACGCACGGUCCCCCCAAUAUAUAUAUAUUUUAUUUCGAAACAUACGAAACUGCACCGUUUCAAUUUUUUUUUACCAGGACCAAAAUGACGUCGUUUUGGCCUGGAUGAUUUGAAAAGAAAAAAAACACAGUCUGCUAUUACGUGCAGCAAAACCCAAACAUCACCGGACCGCAGGGAGCUCUGAACUACUGAACCAAUGGGUUUUUUGGCGAGUGGAGGGGUGGACCCAUAAAUCUAGUCAUGUUUUCCGGUGAGGGGAGUGGUCCACUUCUCGCCCUCACAUGGCUUCGCCACUGGAGCCACCAAUAUACUUGAAAAUUGAUUGCAACCAAUGAGGGCAUCGUAUAACACCAAUAUACCUGAAAAUUGUCGUAGUACUCGUUGCUACAAACGCAUGGGCGCAAGUAGAAUCGAAAUCGGAGCUACGGUUAAAAUUUUACAGACUUACGAACGUGAAAGGCAACUUGGUAAUUUCAUGGUUAGAGAUAUUUUGUGACUUGUUUUGUGAGCCAAGUAUGGCCCACACCCAUUCCUUUACCCUCUCUCGUGUUCCCCUACCACUCUCUCUCAUUUGUCAAUCCUCACCUCAAUCUUCCACUCAUGGAUUGCCAUCUCACCCUCCCCCUCUAACUCUCUCACCUCUCAGCCUUCUCUUAUCUCUCCCAGUUUUCCCCUCUCACUCUAACUCACUCUAUCAUUCUCUCUCUCUCACCGACACCACCAUCGAACAUCACUCAAACCCAACAACGUACAAGGGAACCGGCUGCUCACCAGAUAUACAUCAUCAACUCUCCUAUAUGAAGACACAAAUGAACCCUGGAGGCAUCACACCUUGCAAUGGCUUACGCCAUUGUUCAUUUUUAUUCCUAAACGGAAUCCGGCGAGAUCCUUACUUCCAACGUGGGUAGGCAUCGGGAAAACCCAUAUCUCUUCCUUUUACGUCAUUUGGUGUCAAAUUUAGGUGUGAUGAAUGAUGUUUGAACGCAGAACCACGUCGAGGCAACAAACCCAUUUUUUCGGCAAGGUUCCGGUGGCUUUCGAGCCUUUUUUUUACCAAAUGUGGCCACGGUUGAGGAACUAAUGGUACAAUUUGAUUCCUUGUUCUAUGAGCUUCAAUUUGAUAUAUUGGAAGGCUAGGUUUAGUGAAGUUUUAGUUGAUAGUAGUCGGAGAUCAUUCAUUUUCCAGAUUUCGGCGGUUGCAUUGCAGUGGCAACAGGCAGGAGAAAAAGGAAAAGAAAAAAAAACAAACAAAAAGAAAGGAAGCCUAGAUCCGUAACCCGGAUCCGGAUACAAACCCGGAAUCUGGUCCGGCCCAGUUUUAAAUGGGUGGAAUAUUCCAAAAUAUUUCUGAAAUAUUCUUUAGAAUAUUCCUCAAAUAUUCCUUGUGUUGAUUUUUUUCGAAAUUUUCUCGGAAACCCUCAUAGGCUAAAUUCGACAUCCCGAGUUCCUUUUUUACAUCCAUUUAGUGAAAUUCCAAAGUUUUAACGUAGUUGACCACUGGGGCGUCUCAGUUGACUUUUAAGGUUGACCGUUGACUUUUUCGUCGACUUUUUACAAAUUUAGCACGCGAUCCCUCUUACCGUAUUUCAACGCUAUGAUUCCACAUCCGCACUUCUUUUUCCCAAAUUUGAUCAUUUAAGUUGAGUUUAACUAACGGAUCCCAAUAUUAUGCUUAGGUACGAUUACUAUGGGAGACUCCAUCUUGCUGCGACAUCGUAAAUAUCUGUGAGUGAGUCUUUUCUUUUAUAUAGUAUAUAUAUUGUUUAUACCAUAUUUAGGGUCUCGUAUUUAGAUCUCGUACAAAUACUCGGGGGACUUAAAUGUAAUUAUGUGAUAAAGGAAUUGGCACAUAGGUAAUAAGUGAGGAGCCCUUAUUCUAUAAAAUGACUCGUCACCCUCACAAUGAGGAGAGGCCAUUUCCUAAGCCUCUCCUAGCUAAAGCAAAGCUCUCACACUCUCUCCCUCACAAAUACUCUCAGAGAAAUACAAUCAGUGUGGACGUAGUCCAAACCUUAGGGUGAACCACGAUACUUCUCGUGUUAUUUACAUUUCUUGCAGAUUCACGGUCGGAUUUACGUUGUUCCAAGACCUCCGAUUUUGUGCAUCAACAUUUGGCGCCGUCUGUGGGAAUCGAUACGAAAAGUUGUGUCGAUUCUCUUUCAUUUUUUUCACCUUCACCGUGAAUCAGCAAAAAUCACAAAAAAAAAAACCCAAAAACAAAAAGAAAAAGAAACCUGCUCCGUCUGCAUUCUUUUAUUUUUGGGGGCAAUCUACUCUGUAUACAGAAUCAGGAAUCAAAUCUCUCAUCUCUAUGUCUGAUAGUUUCUCUCCCAGAAUCAAAGCUCUCAUCCCUUUGUCUAGUGGUCUCUCUCCCAAAAAUUAUUCGACACACCCAGAGGGCGUGUGAAACUAUGUCUUACAAAUACAAACAAGGUUGUACACCCAGGAUAGCCCAAAACUACUUCGUGCACGUCGCUCCAUAGUCCCUCCCCCUUCCGAGCUAGGCCCAUCAUAGGCCUUUGAACGGCUCAAGAUCGAGUAGGCCGGCCUCUCUGUUGCUGGGUUAGCUGAACCCGACUGAAAUCUGAUCUGGGUAUGCCGUGAGAGAACAAGCCCGCCAGCCUGCUUCACAAGACUAUCAUUAAACAGUUUUGGGCACUGUCUCUCUCUCUCUUGAUCUCAUCUCUCUCUCUAAAAAUCAUCGACAAUGGGUGUGUGUCCAAACUUCGAGCCGUCGAUCGAGAUCAACCAUCAUCAGACCAUUAAAACGGUGUUGUGCGCUCAAAUCUCUCUGCAUCACCUGCAACAGCUCUUCCUCUCGUUCUAGAUCCCGCAACGCCGACGAUCAUCAUGAUUUCGACCACAUCCAAGUUUCCCUCCUCCUCUUAAGUUCCAUCUUUCUCUCUCUCUCUCUCUCUCUCUCUCUCUCUCUCUCUCUCUCCCUCUCUCACUGGGUUUGCAUAAAUUAAGAAUGUAGUUGUUGUCUGCAAAUGGAUUUCAAGCUCCAAGCUGUGAUGGGCCUGGUAGCCGUUCGUCUCAGUCAAUACCCGUAGCCGAACGACGGUAUUUUGUGAAUGACUGUUGGGCUAGCUUGGCGACAAGUACUACCGAUACACGUGCGCGGUGUGCUUGAGCCAGCUGGAGAUGGGGGACGAGGUGAGAGAGAUGGGGAACUGCUGCCAUAUGUUCCAUCCCGAGUGCAUGGACAGGAGAGAGUUCUGAGCAAAAUUCCGAGUCUUAACGCGGAGACAGUACCUCAAACGAUUUAGCCUUGAUAGAUCCGAACCGAAACUCGUCAUUGACUCGGACAAUCGUGUUGAGGUCACCACGAACUGUGAAGUCGCGAAUGGCCAAGAGCAGGUCCAUAAAGGAUGAUGCAGUUUGCUUGCUGCUACUGUAGUGGAAAGUGUUAUGAGUUGUACAUUUCAUGCUAGUCGGUAAGCGCAACGGCUACCUCAAGGGUGUCACCACCGAGAUCAACCACCGUCAAACCAUCACUGUCCUCACCCUCGACAAUGGCGCCAUGUCAUCCCGCUGAUGUGCAUGAAGAAUCUCGGAACAAGUCUGAUGCAAUGAAUGAUGAUUACAAUAAUUUGAUUCAGGAUUAUUAUGCAGUACUGCAGAAUGAUGGUGAUGUCAGUGAACGGGAUGGCACAACUCAGAUCUCGUGGUGGAGCUGGAAUACACCAACUGAUGUUCAGGCAGCAGAAAAAGAGAAAAGGCAGAGAGUGAAAAGAAGAAAGCAAAAGCGGAGAUAAGAUUAUUUUCUUAUUAUUAAAUCUAUUAUCAUUACUUGUCUGCCAUAUUGAUCAGGGUCAAGAAAACAAAAAGAAAAUCAGAAAGCAGAAAAGGAAAAGCCGAAAAGAAGAUGAUCCACUAUCCACUACUCCACUAUCCCACGGGAUAACAUGAUUAAAGAUAAGAAGAUGCCCACCAAGGUUUCCCGUCUCCACUUUCUGUUGGACCAGAAGAUGCCCAUCAAUAUGCUGAAAAUAUGUAAUUUAUUUUUCUUAUCUUUCGGAGAGAUCUGUAUAAACCCCAUCAGAGGGUAAUAGUACCUAAAAAAACGGCAAAGCCCAAAAUAAAUGGGCUGGAAGGUUGUGUAGAGGGCGAAGGCCCAUGAGCCCAAAAUAGCUCAAACCAGGUGAUCAAAAGUACGCCCAGUACUCCACAAUUAUUCGACAACCUGCCGCUAUUACCACCAACCAGGUGAUCAAAAGUACGCCCAGUACUCCACAAUUAUUCGGCAACCUGCCGCUAUUACCACCAACCAGGUGAUCAAAAGUACGCCCAGUACUCCAAAAUUAUUCGGCAACAUGCCGUUAUUACCACCAACCAGGUGAUGAAAUGUACAACCUGUACUCUAAUAUCAUUUGGCAACUAACCAUUCAUGCCACCAACCAGGUGAUGAAAUGUACAACCCGUACUCUAAUAUCAUUUGACAACUAGCCAUUCAUGCCACCAACUAGGUGAUGAAAUGUACAACCCGUACUCUCCUUCAUGCCACCAACCAGGUGAUCAAAAAUACGCCUAGUAUUCCAAAUUAUACAUGAGCAUUACUUAUGUCAUUCAUACAUAAACAUUUAUGAGCAUCACUCAUGACAAUCAUACAUAAACAUUCAUGACAAUCAUUCAUGUCAACAUUCAUGAGCAUCACUCAUGUUAACAUUCAUAAGCAUCACUCAUGACAACAUCCAUGAGCAUCACUCAUGUCAAUCAACAUAAACAUUCAUGAGCAUCACUCAUGUCAAUCAGCUUCAAAAGUUUCAUUUACAAAGCUCUAGCUUCAAAGCUUCACUUGCAAAGCUUCACUUGCAAAGCUUCACCUACAAAGCUUCAGUGCAAGGUAUACAAAUACCGCCUCCGAACAACCGCCACUUCGGCCCAUACAUGGAUUCAAUUUGAAGUCUCUAGCCAACAGACUCUAUUGACUGAAGACUUUGGGGACUACAUUAUGUACCAUAUAUUGGGCCUCAACUGGGCCUCAUGAAAAAUACUUAGGGGACUUAGCCCAUUACCUAUGUAUUGAUGAGCAAACCCUUAUUCUAUAAAAUGGACUCCCUCACUUUCAUCAGAAAGCACAUAUCACUUAUGUAUUGAGGAGCGAACCAUUAUUCUAUAAAAGAGACUCCCUCACCUUCAUUAGAAAACAACGUCACCAGCUGAGCAAUCGCCUCGCCGCGAGCAUCAACUCUAGCCCAUAAUUUAUGUAUUGAGGAGCGAGCCCUUAUUCUAUAAAAGGGACCCCCUCACCUUCAAGUGCCACAAGCCGAGCCAACCAAGGUAACAUAAGCCACAAGCUGAGCAGCCUCGCAACAUGUGCUACUUAUAGUUGAGCAUCAUUUCACUUUGAGCACCGCCUCAUAUCAAGUACCAGUUCAAGACGACAUCUAGUUACUUCGGCCUACACAUGGACUGAAUUUCAAGUCUCCAGCCAAAAGACUCUCUUGACUGAAGACUUAGGGGACUACUAUUUAUACCAUAUUUAGGGCCUCAUAUUUAGAUCUCGUACAAAUACUCAGGGGACUUAAAUGUAAUUAUGUGAUAAAGGAAGGGGCAAAUAGGUAAUAAGUGAAUAACCUUUAUUCUAUAAAAGGACUCUUCACCCUCACAAUGAGGAGAGGCCAUUUCCUAAGCCUCUCCUAGCUAGAGCAAAGCUCUCACACUCUCUCCCUCACAAAUACUCUCAGAGAAAUACAAUCAGUGUGGACGUGGCGCAAAUCUUGGGGUGAACCACGAUACUUCUCGUGUUAUUUACAUUUCUUGCAUAUUCACAGUCGGAUUUACGUUAUUCCAAGACCUCCGGUUUUGUGCAUCAACAUAUAUAAUUGUUAGUUUCCAUUUAUACCUUUCAUAAAGAGUUUUCUACAAUACGCCUAAAUUAGUGUGACGUUUAUAAGAUUUAUUGCAUUGAUAUAAAUUAUGAAGUUAUGCUACGUCAUACGGGAAGCACAAGUAUGCAUAUUAUUAUGCCUUAAUUAUAUUUAUGGUCGUAAAUAGUAUUAUGGUGACGUGAAUUAUCGAUUUACCAUUGCAUUAUGAUAUUUGCGUUAUCUGCUUAUCGUUGCUGCACAAGUGUUAGUACUCGCCCGGGUCAGGGCCAGCCUUUCACGUGUAUGUGCACAUCGCACCGUACACUCACUUUGGAUCCAUUGUAGGUGUCAGUCUUGUCCUAGAUUGUUAUAGGCAAUUAGGACUCGUAUGUGCUGCACAGAGCGCCAGUCUUCACGUGAUUGUAGUACUAGAACGUAUAUCAUUGUUACACCCAGUCAUGUUCAUGUCAAAAGAUCUUUACAUGAACUCGUGUGUCAACAUGUGUCGAUAAGCACUCGAUAUGAUAUGUUUUCUUAUGCGAGAUUAUGUGAUUUUGGACGUCAUGCGCUUAUUUACGAGAUAUGGUGUGGUAUUGAAUUCUUGAGAUAUUGUAGAUUACGGUAAGUAUUUUCUUACUAUAUGUGGUAUGUAUAUUUUGGAAACUAUAUUUGUUUUUACAGCGAGGGGUUAUUAUGUUUUCAAAAGGUUUUACUAAACUUUAUUUUUAGGCUCACUCACCCUUAUUUUUCGCCCCUCUAGGUUCUAGUAACUGAGCUUUCGUAUCGACGAGGAUUCUUGGCAAAUCAUAGUAUGGGAGAUUACCUACGAUGGUAUAAUUCUCAUUUCCCUCUACUGUACUUUACUUAUACUCUGACAUCACAUGUGAAUUGGGUUCAUUUCCGAAUUGGGUUCAUUUCCGCUCACAAGCGCACUCUCACAUUUAGGUACACUUAGGUUUAAAUUUACUCACUUCCACAUCACUACACUUUAUGGCUUCGUCACCGUCCUGGUGACGGCCAGCACAUCUCGAUUCGGAUUCCAAAUGGACAUUUCGGGUCGGGACGUGUCAGGAGGCCCAAGUAGAUAUAUGAUAUUCUCACAUAAGGUAAUGUUUGUUAUCCAAUUUAAUGUAUGAAACACAUGUAACACAAUAUUAACACAAGCAUCGAGUCAUUGAUCUGUCAAAAUCCUGGACAAACAUAACAAUGUCGUCUUACUAAUAACUUAAAGCCUCGUUUGGUAGCCGUUUUAAUUAGACCGUAAUUCAGAAAGUAGGCAUUCAUCAAUCUGUAUUACUCAAUUGUAUGUUACUGAUUUUAUGAAAGGCCAGAUUCUCAUCAGUUUCCUACUAUUUUUUCUUUAAUGUCGGUUUUAGAAGUAUACGUAACGAGUCGAUUUUAGUCUCACGAAAUAUUUUCAUCAUAUUUGAGUAAUGCAAACCAAUUAUUCGUAAAGCAAUAAUGUGUUUGGUUGGAGAGGAGAUGCUGCCGACAUAUCAGUUGAGCAAAAUUCCAAUCAUGUACUGCAAACACAUGCAACAUUUUGCUUCCAAGCUUUGGCUCAAAGGAGCAACCAAAUCGCUGCCAUGCGGCGUCUCUUACACAAUUGACCUUUUGAAAUCAACCAAUGUUGGAAGGGGCUAACGCUAAAGUGAUCGAACAAAUCCAACACUAAGUAUCAUUCUUAAAGAACGAUAACACGACUAAUGUUAAUUCGGUCUAACGUCACUCAUUUUCACUUUGUUUAACGAGAUUUUGAGUUCAAAUCUCGUGAACGACACUUACAGACAAGUUAGACAAGUUAGCUAGUGAUUGGAUUCCAAGCAGCAUGUGUGUAAUAGUUCAUGCAUGUGAAUGUUUAGGACCACAACUUUGUUUAACGAGAUUUUGAGUUCAAAUCUCGUGAACGACACUUACAGACAAGUUAGACAAGUUAGCUAGUGAUUGGAUUCCAAGCAGCAUGUGUGUAAUAGUUCAUGGAUGUGAAUGUUUAGGACCACAUCUACUUCUGAAUUGUGAUUGGGAUUAAUUUAAAACAUUAUAUUAUAAUCAUACUUAACCCCACAUCAUGAGGCAUGUAAAUUAAUCCAUGCUUCGGGGAAACAAUAUUUUUCUUUAAAUAUAGGGAAUUGUUAUUAGUACUCAAAAAAUCUUAUUUGGCACGCCAAAAUUUUUAUAAUUAGAAAGAAAAAUACAUUUGUGAGAAAUGUAAAAUGAGAUUUUUAAAUUGUUAAUAACAGAACUACAAAAAGUGACAUUCAAAUUCGAGUGGAAAGAAAAAAACACAAUGCUUUAAAAUAAAUUAACACAUAAUUGACUCCCUAUCAAGAUCCCUAAAUGCAUGCCCUCCUCAACGACUCGCCAUCUCUCCCAAUAAUUUAAUUAAUCUUUGAUGACCUAAUACUUGGUACCUUCAUUAAUUUACUGUUACUUGAUCACUCAUAUAUUUCAUGCAUUUAUACCAUCCAUUUCUAAAAUCUUUGUGAUGUUUUUGUGUUAAAAUUGUGGCAUUUUACCUUACCUUGUGUUAAUGUGAAAUUAAAUUUGUUUUAGGAUCAAUUUCAAUUAAAAAGAAGAAAUGAGAAGACACGGACAAAGAAUGACAGAGAGGAUGGCACACAGGAAGAAAUGGCAGACACACAACAGAUAAAAAGAAAAAAAAAACUGACAGAAGGGAGAGCUGAAGACGCAGGAAAAGAAAAAGAAACAGGAGCAGAAAAACAAAGAGAGGUGCGGAGAAAGAGGAGCAGAAAAACAGCAGGGAGAGCACGGAAAAAGGGCAGUGCGCAGGAAGGCAGAGCGCACGACAGAACCAGGCGCAGGGAAUGCGCAGAGAGAGGAAGAGCAGAGGAAGUCAGGAGCACGGGAGAAAGGAAAAGAAGUUAGGAGCAAUGGAGAGCUCGUCUUGUUAAAUCGGGUGUUUUCUUUCUUUGUUAUUUUGUUUUAUGGAUAAUUUCUUAUGUAUUAAUACAAGUAUGUGUAACUAAUUUAUUUUGCUAGAGUGAGGCCAUGAGCCGCAACAUGAAUACGUAGAUUUCUCUUUCAAUUGCUUAAGUGUUGUUACAUGCUUGAUUUGAUAUUUUCAAUCACUGAAUUAAACUAUCUAUGUACCUUGAUGCUUGAUCACCAUUAGGAUGCUUAGAAAAGUUAUCGGAUGCAAUUUUGAACAAAUGUCACGUUAAAAUUAGUUGUGCUUCUUGUGAUUGAGGAUUGUACUAUCCUAAGGUAAAUAUCAUGCUCUUAGGGAUUACAUGGUUUAACAAAAGGAUUUUCACAAAGAUUAAUGAAUCACUCAUGUUUAUAUUUAAUCCAAAUGUCAUGGAUAAGUUGCAUGUAGUGGUAUGCGUUUUAGCUUGAAUGUCACAAGUAAAACAUACACAAGGAAAAUCCAACCUUCAAAGCAUGUGUGUUUUUGAUCGGAUCAUAUUUAUAUAUAUUUUUACUUCGAAAUCACUCGUCUUUCUUAGUUAGUUCAUUAUAUUUUUGAGUUAUUUACGUUAUUUUUGUGUUUAUAGGAUUUGUUAUGCAAAGAAAAUAAAAAUAGCACAAAAGAAUCUUGCUGCCAAAAAUACUUUCCAGCUUAUACCUUGAAAAGAGCACUAAAGCCACACACAUGAUCACCGCAUGCGUGUAGUCAUUCCAUUACUGCAGAAUCUCAUCAGUCAUCAAGUGCACAUGCUCAGUGAACAUUACUGUUCCUUUACUGUAUUAUUCUGUUUGUGGCCUACCGCCUACUUUAUAUUCUUUUGACCUUUUUCCGUUGUUGAUGUAGUUGUCAUGUUGUAUAUAUAUGAUUAUGCUAACUUCGCCCAACAUGCUUAACAUGGUCUCAUUGAUACCACUGAUCGUGAAAUUUGUGAGUGUUUGACAGGUUGCUAUGUCGAGAACAUGAGAAAGGAAAAAGGGCUGAUGGCAUUCUUCUGUUAUGAUGGAAAGAGGCGCACAAAAGAAAGAUAAUAAUAAAUAAAAGAAACAAAAGAGGCAGCGCCAGCGAGAGAAGAAAAACACGGCCUUGCCAGCGUGAACCUCGGGGGGGGGGAGAAAAACCAAGAGCACGAGCAGCAAGCUGCCUUAGGCACAGAGAAAGACAGAAGGCACCAAGCUGCCUUAGGCAGCGAGAAAGAAAGGAGAGGAAUUCAAAAGCUGCCUUGCAGCGUGUAUCCAAUCAGAGGAGGUGUGAGCCUCGGGGGAGAUUAGCAGUGCGCACAGAAAACAGAGGGCGCUGGGCAGACAGAGCACUGAAGCACUCUCCUCUUUCGGUUAAAUCUUUCCAAACUUAUAUUUUAUUUCUGUUUUAAUAAUGUGUAACUAAAUUUAUUUUGGCUAGAGGUUAAUUCAAAGCCAUGAAUAUAUUUGUAAUAUGAAUUGAUUACCUUCAGUUGUGAUUUCUGAGUUGUGAUUUAAUUUUCUUAACUGCUUGAUUGAUAACUUAUUUUUGUAUGUCGAUUAAGAAUGCAUACUUAAUUUACAUGCAUGAAUUUGAUGCUAGAAUAUAAGUGAAUUUCACCUAAUCGUUAUGAACUUAUGAGUAGUGAAGGUUGUUAUCCACAAUCGUGUUAAGUGAAUUCUUGGCAAGAGUAUCAUGCUUUUCAUAGUUACGAAUGCCUCGUCAAUGCUUAUAGUUUUCACAAAGUUUAAUGAUCUUUGAUUGUAUCUCUAUUGUGCUUUUCACGUAGGGGACUUUUGAAGAAUGUUUUGAAUUGUUGUAUGCGUUUUUCCGUCCAAUUCAAUAACUUAAGGAAAACUUGAAGAUUAAAAAAGUGUUGUUCACGGUUAAUCUGAAGUAUUGAGAUUUACAAUUUAUUGAAAUAACAACUGAAAAUCAAUUUAGGUUGCAUAUGUGUCAUGUGUGGAGAAGAACCCUCUAGCUAGUCCAUCACCUAUCCUUUCACCUUAAUUUCAUGCUUUUGUCAAUUCUGUAAUUUAUUUAAGUUUAAUUUACUUCUCGUCAAAACCAAACCCCCCCCAUUAUUAAAUUAUAUUAUUUAGUUAGUUUUCAUUGUUGUUAGUCUUUUAAUUCAAUUUCCGUCCAUUUCAGUUCCUAGUGUCUAAUUUGAUUGUUUUCAUUAUUUUGAGUCAUUCUAAGUGUGUUUCGAGUUAUUAGAGUUUUUAGCCUAGUUUUGUGUCCUUGAGUCUUGUUUAAUAAUUCUAAAUUAAUUUAGAAUAGAUUAGCAAUCCCUCCUAAUCCCCGGCCUAGAACGAUACCCUACUUACAUACUUUACUACAAUUGAUAAAAAUAGGGUUUAAUUUGUGUGCUUAUAUAUUACACAUCAGUUUUCAAUUAUUUAAGCAAUUGGAAUAGCUACGUAGGAGUGUUGUUGGUAAAGGUUGAACUCUAGCACCUUGUCAAUCUAAUUUUCUUAAAUUAAUUGUAUUAUCUUGAGUUUAUAUUUUUAAUUGUUUUGUUAAGUUGAAUCAUUGUUCCUAUAAGCAAAUUCCCAUUUUAGAUAUUUGUUUAAUUCACAUCCAGUAAUAUUUAGUUUCGUCAAAUUAGUUUGGUUCUUAGAGUUAAAUAAGUUAAAUACACAAAAACUCGUAAAUUGUUUAUAUCAGUCCCUGAGGAGAUCGACCUUACUUGAGUCAUUCUAUACUACAAACACUUGUUCUCUUGCAAGAAUUUUCUAUGGUUUAACCCUUUGUUUUACAAGUGGUAAAAUCGCUAUCACUACUUGUUGCCAUUUCCUCGUCUCCAACUUUUUUAUAUCCUUUAUUUUUUGGAACUUAGAUCGAUCGACGCAGUCACACAGGCAUUUCGGUGGAAAAAAAUAUACAAACUCAAGGGUGACACAUGUUUAAAAUUCAAAACUUGAACCAUAACUUACCUACUUUGUUAAUUUUUUGGUUUGACUCAACCAAGCAUUAUGUUACCCAUUUACAAGUAAAUUUAAUAAUGAUUGCUUACUUGAAACGGAGAAGUAAUAAAUCUGAAAAGUUAGGAAUAAGAAUGAAAUGGUACAUGGUCACCUAUUUCAUCAAUGUAAUUUUUGGUUUUUCAGGUAUUAGAUUAUAGAUUAAUGUAAUGUGAAACUUGUAUCCUUUUUUAUUCUGCAUGUGGCAGUAAACGAAAAAAGUAAUGAAUUCGGGAAGUUAAGAAUAAGAGAGAAGAAAAUGGAACAAGAUCACUUAAUUCACGUAGUCAAUGUAAUUUAUGGAUUUUCAAAUAUUAAACUACUAAUUGUAAUGUGAUCGUGUGCGUGUCAGUAAAAAUUGAGAAAGUCAGGAAUCUGAAUAAUUUAAAUACAUAUUCAAUGUAAACCUACCAGAAACCUCUAGAAAUCAAGAUUGUACACAAGGGUUAAUUAAACUUAAUAAUUAUUGUUAGCUGAGCUAAUCAAGGUGGAUAUAUAAUUGAAUAAACUAUGAUUGAUAUCUUACCUAAAUGCUAUGUGUGAGUAUUGCUUUCAUCACUUGCUGGCAUUGCUCUCUCUGUCUUGAAGAUAUAUGGUUUUAUUUUAAUCUCUCAAUUUGAUCCCCCACCAUGCAGCAUAUAAUCUUCAUAUAACAAAAGACUAGUCUCAAGUCUUCACGACCACCUUUCUGGUUCGACAUUUCUGUUUCCUCUCCCAAUUUUCUAUGUUCUCCUGCUUCUGAAGGAGUGAGAAGCAACAUGGGAAGAAACAAACAAGAAAAAGACACAAUGAAUGGCAAACUCAAGGUACAUAUAUACGUGUGUGUGUGUGUGCGCGCGUGUGUUUCCAAAAACUUUUCUCUGUAACUGUAUUAUUACUUCAAAGCUGCUCCUAAUUGGCAUAAGGAAGUGAUUUACGUUCAUUCAUUCUCUCCGUCUGCACAGCCCGUUCAUUUCAGUCGCUUGGUUCUCUUUGGUUAUUCAAUCCAAGGGCCAGAGAUAAAUAGGGGUGUGCAUGAAGAGAAAAUGAGUGUUUAGAAAUCACUUUCUGUUGACAUAUCUUGGCAUAGUGAAGUUGGCUAGAGCAUUAUGCUCUCCCUCUUCACUCAAGUUCAAAUUGUUCUCCCCGUAGUUGAGGUAAUUAGAAUAAGAAAAUAUAUUGUUGCUAAAUGUGAGCUGUAAAUUUCCAAUUCUCUGCUCUUUAGGAUAUAGUAAAAGCUGAACUCCAAGGACUGGCUUCAGGUUCUUCACCAAACUCACCAACUGAAGAUGGAAGACCAAGCAGCAUAAUAGUUAAGGUCAAUGAAUUUUGUCCCAUACUUUUUUCCUUUUUUUAAGCGUGGCGGUCACGUCAUCAUGUGGUAUUACUACUAAUUUACAUGUUAACUGAGUUCCGCCAUACUUGUUUGAAUCACAUAAGGCAAACACCAUAUUUCCUGCUCACUUGAUAGCAGAAGCCAUAUCCUCACCCAGAGGCCUUGAUCUGAGAUGGUCAGGUCCCAUCACACCAAGUGAGAUGCUCUAUGUUCAGCAAUACAUCUUCGCAAAGUACCCAGAAUACUACAAUGAUGUCAAAACUAGACAUCGAUAAUCUUUCGAUCAACGAAGAAACCUCAGGAACUCCACCCCAUGACAAUAAGCUUAAGUCACCCAAGAGUGUGACACCAAAAGAGUUGUCCCCAUUCAGCAGCACUCACUCAGACCUGGACAGGACUAAGAUGGAACCCUCAAGACUGCUCGACAUCCUGACCAAGAAAUCCUCGUUCCAGGGUAACUUUGUAUCCAUUCCUGAGGUCCAAGCAAGGAAUAGGGCAUUGAAGCAAUGUGGGUUGCAAGGGGAGGACUAUUUAGUCCUUUUCAUGUCAAAUUACAAAGAUGUGAUGGUGAUGAUUAGUGAGAGCUACCCUUUCUUCAUAGGAAAUUACUAUAUAACCAUUGUGGGAGAGAAGACUGAUCAGUCUGAUCCCAUAAGGGACUUUGCAAGUACCAAAGAAUCUAGGGUUAUUUCAGCACCAGAAACUUGGUUGGAUUUGAGGAUAAAAGGGUCACAACUUAGCCAGUACUUUAGGAGAAAGUGCAAGUAUAGUCCCAGAGGACUAUUUUCCAAUCUUGCAACUGUCAAUGAGACUAAAUACUCCAUGCAUUGGAUCUAGGCCUGGCAAACGGGUCGUGUCAGUCCUGUUCGUGUCGUUUUCGUGUAACACCUGUUAUCUUAACGGGUCGUGUCGUGUCACACCCGUUAUCUUAACGGGUCCUUAACAGGUCGUGUCACUUUACCCAACGGGUAAAGUGACCCGACCCGUUAUGACCCGUUAUGACCCGUUAAGAAAAAUAUAUUUUUUUUCUUAAAUUUGCACAUGCCACACAUUGCCACAUAAAUAUUACUUCAAAACAUUAAAAUACAUUUGUCGUUUAAGUACUACAUCUACACUAAAAAAUAAGAGCCUAAUAAAAAAAUAAUACAUACACUACUAAUCUAUUACAAAUUUUAAAUGUGCAAGGAUAUGCAAAAUGAAACAGUUUUUGUUUUCAAGGUUGUGAAAUCUUUCUCAAAAGUUUAAACCUGAAUUUACAGAAUCCUCGAUUUACAUCGAUCAUCAUGAAAUUGCAUUGGAACUUUGGCUUGAUCUAUUGCCUUCAAGAGUUAUGUUGAUGAUGUUUUCAGUAAGGUUUUCCACGUCAUAACUCUCUUCUGCAUAAACUAAGCAUAGAAAAAACCAAACAUUAAAAAUCAUUCAAAUUAUGAGAAGUUUACCAAAAUAAUUAUGAAAAAAAAUAAAACAAUAGUACUAUACCAUACUUUUAUUAAGUAUAAACAUAAGAUUUUGUGGUAUCCACUAGUGUAAAUAUUUUAAAUUGAAGAUCGAAUUCAAUCAUUGUAUUCAUAUAAGGUCAAGGAGUGUAGUUGUAAAAAAUCAUCAAAAUCGGAGUUAAAUUAACCGUUAAAUCGUGAUUUUUCGUUUAUAACUGUCGAAAAGUUUUGUCCCGUUACUUGCUCUCUAAAUGUUUGUUUUUUGCAAUUUUUGGCGUAUGCGAUCUCGAAAUAUAUACAAACAUGUUUGACGGUUGGAUCAUUGAAACUAGUUUCGUAGAAUGAGUAUCCCAUCAAAACAAUAGAUUCACUAAUACUUAAGAGUUUAUUCAUACUUUUAUUAAGUAUAACAUAAGAUUUUGUGGUAUCCACUGGUGUAAAUAUUUUAAAUUGAAGAUCGAAUUCAAUCAUUGUAUUCAUAUAGGGUCAAGGAGUGUAGUUGUAAAAAAUCAUCAAAAUCGGAGUUAAAAUGACCGUUAAAUCGUGAUUUUUCGUUUAUAACCGUCGAAAACUUUUGUCCCGUUACUUGAUCUCUGAAUGUUUUUUUUUUUUCACUUUUUGGCGUAUGCAAUCUCGAAGUAUAUAUAAACAUGUUUGACGGUUGGAUCAUUGAAACUAGUUUCGUAGAAUGAGUAUCUCAUCAAAACAAUAGAUUCACUAAUACUUAAUUGUUUAUUCAUACUUUUAUUAAGUAUAAUAUAAGAUUUUGUGGUAUCCACUAGUGUAAAUAUUUUAAAUUGAAGAUCGAAUUCAAUCGUUGUAUUCAUAUAUGAUCAAGGAGUGUGGUUGUAAAAAAGCAUCAAAAUCGGAGUUAAAAUGACCGUUAAAUCGUGAUUUUCGUUUAUAACCGUCGAAAACUUUUGUCUCGUUACUUGAUCUGUGAAUGUUUGUUUUUUUUAAUUUUUGACGUAUGCGAUCUCGAAGUAUAUACAAACAUGUUUGACGGUUGGAUCUUUGAAACUAGUUUCGCAGAAUGAGUAUCCCAUCAAAACAAUAUAUUCACUAAUACUUAAUAGUUUAUUCAUACUUUUAUUAAGUAUAACGUAAGAUUUUGUGGUAUCCAGUAGUGUAAAUAUUUUAAAUUGAAGAUCGAAUUCAAUCGUUGUAUUCAUAUAUGAUCAAGGAGUGUGGUUGUAAAAAAUCAUCAAAAUCGGAGUUAAAAUGACCGUUAAAUCGUGAUUUUUCGUUUAUAACCGUCGAAAACCUUUGUCCCGUUACUUGAUCUCAGAAUGUUUGUUUUUUGUAAUUUUUGACGUAUGCGAUCUCGAAGUAUAUACAAACAUGUUUGACGGUUGGAUCUUUGAAACUAGUUUCACAGAAAGAGUAUCUCAUCAAAACAAUAUAUUCACUAAUACUUAAUAGUUUAUUCAUACUUUUAUUAAGUAUAAUAUAAGAUUUUGUGGUAUCCACUAGUGUAAAUAUUUUAAAUUGAAGAUCGAAUUCAAUCAUUGUAUUCAUAUAAGGUCAAGGAGUGAAGCUGCAAAAAAUCAUCAAAAUAAGAGUUAAAAUGACCGUUAAAUCGUGAUUUUUCUUUUUAUAACCGUUGAAAAGUUUUGUCCCGUUACUUGGUCUCUGAAUGUUUGUUUUUUGCAAUUUUUGGCGUAUGCGAUCUCGAAAUAUAUACAAACAUGUUUGACGGUUGGAUCAUUGAAACUAGUUUCGUAGAAUGAGUAUCCCAUCAAAACAAUAGAUUCACUAAUACUUAAGAGUUUAUUCAUACUUUUAUUAAGUAUAACAUAAGAUUUUGUGGUAUCCACUAGUGUAAAUAUUUUAAAUUGAAGAUCGAAUUCAAUCAUUGUAUUCAUAUAGGGUCAAGGAGUGUAUUUGUAAAAAAUCAUCAAAAUCGGAGUUAAAAUGACCGUUAAAUCGUGAUUUUUCGUUUAUAACCGUUGAAAUGUUUUGUCCCGUUACUUGAUCUCUGAAUGUUUUCUUUUUGCAAUUUUUGGCGUAUGCGAUCUCGAAGUAUAUAUAAACAUGUUUGACAGUUGGAUCAUUGAAACUAGUUUCGUAGAAUGAGUAUCCCAUCAAAACAAUAGAUUCACUAAUACUUAAUAGUUUAUUCAUACUUUUAUUAAGUAUAAUAUAAGAUUUUGUGGUAUCCACUAGUGUAAAUAUUUUAAAUUGAAGAUCGAAUUCAAUCAUUGUAUUCAUAUAAGGUCAAGGAGUGUAGCUGCAAAAAAUCAUCAAAAUCAGAGUUAAAAUGACCGUUAAAUCGUGAUUUUUCUUUUUAUAACCGUCGAAAAGUUUUGUCCUGUUAAUUGAUCUCUGAAUGUUUGUUUUUUGUAAUUUUUGACGUAUACGAUCUCGAAGUAUAUACAAAUAUGUUUGACGGUUGGAUCUUUGAAACUAGUUUCAUAGAAUGAGUAUCCCAUCAAAACAAUAGAUUCACUAAUACUUAAUAGUUUAUUCAUACUUUUAUUAAGUAUAACAUAAGAUUUUGUGGUAUCCACUAGUGUAAAUAUUUUAAAUUGAAGAUCGAAUUCAUUACUUGUAUUCAUAUAGGGUAAAGGAGUGUAGUUGUCAAAAAUCAUCAAAAUCGGAGUUAAAAUAACCGUUAAAUCGUGAUUUUUCGUUUAUAACCGUCGAAAAGUUUUGUCUCGUUACUUGAUCUCUGAAUGUUUGUUUUUUGCAAUUUUUGGCGUAUGCGAUCUCGAAGUAUAUACAAACAUGUUUGACGGUUGGAUCAUUGAAACUAGUUUUGUAGAAUGAGUAUCCCAUCAAAACAAUAGAUUCACUAAUACUUAAGAGUUUAUUCAUACUUUUAUUAAGUAUAACAUAAGAUUUUGUGGUAUCCACUAGUGUAAAUAUUUUAAAUUGAAGAUCGAAUUCAAUCAUUGUAUUCAUAUAGGGUCAAGGAGUGUGGUUGUAAAAAAUCAUCAAAAUCGGAGUUAAAAUGACCGUUAAAUCGUGAUUUUUCGUUUAUAACCGUCGAAAAGUUUUGUCCCGUUACUUGAUCUCUGAAUGUUUGCUUUUUGCAAUUUUUGAUGUAUGCGAUCUCGAAGUAUAUACAAACAUGUUUGACGGUUGGAUUGUUGAAAUUAGUUUCGUAUAAUUCGUAUCCCAUGAAGUUCAAUGGUGUGGUGUGUGUGUGUAUAUAUGUAUUUAUUUAUUAAGUAGAUUUAAAUCUAUUUAUUUUGUAUGUAUAAUUAUUAUAGUUUUUAGGGGUAUAAAAUUUAAUAUAUAUAUAUAUAUAUAAUUAUUAUAGUUAAUAUUUUGGGUAUAAUUAUUAUAGUUAAUUUAAUAUAUAUAUAUAUAAUUAUUAUAUAGUUUUUAGGGUAUAAAAUUGUUAAAAUUAAUAUAUAUAUAUAUUAUUAUAGUAAUUUUUUUUAGGGUUAUAAAUUAUUAAAUUAAUAUUCUGCUUAUCGUGUAUCGUGUUACCCACGUGUAUACCCGAACAAACCCGUUAUCUUAACAGGUGCUUAUCGGGUUACCCGAUAACGACCCGUUUCGUUAUCGUGUCGACCCGAACACCUGUUAAUUUCGUGUCGUGUCGUGUCGGGUUAUCGGGUCGUGUCGGGAAUUGCCAGGCCUAAUUGGAUCUCGAAGGCACAUAGGAACUCAUGGCAUGUCCUGCUUGACGCAACCGGCUUGGUUUUGGGGGAGGAUCGGUUAGCACUUGCGCUGUACCGGCUGGUCAGGAGAAAAACAUUUGACACUACGACUUGUUGGAAAUUUGAGUAGUUUGAGUAGAAGUUUCUUUGUCCCACAUUGACCAUUCCCAAAAGAUUUUAUCACUUUAUAAGGCUUUGUCAUUUAUAGAAAGUGAUUAGAGUAAUAGGCCUAGAGACUAAAAUUGGGCUAACCCUUAGGGGUUGGGCUUUGGGGUGUACUAAUUAAUUGGUAAUUAAUAUAUAAUUAAUAUAUAUUUAAUUGUCAAAGAUGGAAAUUAAUUAAUAUUUUUCAGAAUUAAUUAAUUAUUUUUAAUUUCGAAUUUAAAUUAUUUAUUUAUUUAUUUUUACCAACAAACUCAUCUUUUCAGAUAAAGUCUAAAGUGUGAGAACGCAGAAACAAAAACACCAUUUUUAGCAGAUGUCUCCCAACAGAUACAUCCCUUCCUCAUACCUGUUGCAAACAGGUAUAAUCACAUUAUAUAUAAAUCCAUCUGCAUGGCAUUUAAAACACACAAAAAAAAUCAUAAAUCUUCUCCUGCAAUCAUAAACAUCCUUUCUGAGAGAACCACAUUAAUAUUCGCCAGAAGUCAAUUUUUCGGUGCUGAAAUUUCUGACUUAGAUCGUUGAAUCCUGGUGAAGCAGACGUCCGUAGAACUACAAGCACUGAGUAGGGGCGAAUUUUCUGUUUCAAGGACAUUGUGGUACGCAAGCCUCGAUCUUUUGUUACUCUGCUUAAUUAAUAUUUCAUCUUGUUGAGUAUCUGGAAUAUAUUUAUUCGUAUUUAUUAUUAGCAUAUUUAUUUUAUUGCGGAUUGUUGACAUAUAUACAGCCUACGGUUUCAUCAUGGUAUUGCUUUUAUUAACAAUAAACAUGUGUAAUUUUUAUUUCUUUCUUAUUCCUGUGAACUCUAAUUUCAUGAACCUGAUUGUACGUGUUCCCAUUAUCAAUGGAGCGUAGUAAGUCUUUCUUUUUCUUUUUCCUACUCUUAUUUUUCAAAACCUAAUAGUCUUGACAUAGGGCAUGUUUUAGUUUCUUCGUUAAGAAGGAAAGAAUUUGUUUGGUAGAGCGUUUACCUUUUGGUUUAUUUCGUCAAAUUUUUCUCUGAACUUGGAGCAACUACUGGUUUCCUCCUUAAACUUUCAUUUGGGCCUAUUCUUCUCCCUCCACAAUCAUUAUAAACGGUUAGUUUCCAACUUAACGGUUAUGUUUACACACAGUUUAUUCAAUUUUUUUUGCUAAAAAGUACACAUGCAAAUCAUUAGGUGUUAUUUGCUAUAUAUUUAGGGUAAAUUAAUCAAAAUAGAAGUCUAGAGGAAAAUUAGCAAUGCAUUACAAGUUAUGGGGCAAAAUCAUAGAAAUAUUCUUACCAUUACAUCGUAAUUUUCUGUUCAAAAAUGGUACAAUAAACAAUACAUAGUCAUCGACUAGAAUAUUUUUCAACAAAAAACUACGGUAUAAUGGUAAGCAUGCCCUAAGUCCUCGAACUUGUUCCAGGGUAUCACCCACACACAGAGGCGGAGCCACAGUGGGGUCAAUGGGGUCGCACGACCUCUUGGAAGCCAUGGAAAUAACCUUAGAGGUUCUUUGGAGCUGCUGAUGCGACCUCUUGGAGCUGCACACCACGUGUUCGAUGAAAUGUCUGAAAGAAGAAAAAGACUUCGGUUGCAGGUUGAAGAAGAAGGAAGGGUGGGUCAACAUUUGUAACCCAUUCUUUCCAGCCCGAUGGGUUCAAGAAUGAUCCUAUCUCAGACUGCAUGAUGACUGUGGUGGAGUAAUCCUUCCAAGGCAUGCCCAGAUAUGUUUGAGCUAUGAGAUUACUGUCUAGCGCAGAGAAUCUGCAAUUUUGGAUUGAAAUGCCGGUGUUCUGAUUCGGGUCCUUUUUGCCUUAAGUUGUGAUGGUGUUGAAUUGGUUUUCCAUAGGUUGCCUGGGCUGGAUGUUGCAGUCCUGGAAAACUACAGCUGCAUUGCCGAAAAUGAAGUCUAUGGUGCCGGUGAUAUCACAUUCCCGAUAGAAUUGCCGGUGAUGUCACAUUCCCGAUAUGCAUGCCGUUUCUGUUAAAAAAAAAUUCGCGCUGCGCGCGCUAUCCUUAUUGACCCCCCAAACAUUAUUUCCUGGAUCCGCCACUGCCCACACAUUACGUUUACGGGUGACUAGUCAAUCAUUCCAGUUGACCAAAGAGGUUUACAAGACAAGUAACAAUGAAUCAAAAGGACCAUACAACCUUAAAAACUUUUAAAAGUCAUAAAGUACCUAACAAAAUGAGAACUCACCAUUAUUUUUCUAUUGAGUGGUCAAUAACAUUCCAGGAUUAUCAUUAAUUAUCUUUCUUUUCACCGAAUAUUUCAGAGACAGGCGACUAACCAUUUCAUCAAUUUUUUUUUUUGGUAAAACAUUUCAUCAAUUUAUCAGUGUUUAUAUAUGUUGAUCCUAAAAACUAUCAAGCCUACGUGGCCCGCAGAUCGAGUUACUAAUGAGAUUAUGUCAAGGCAGAGCUCACCGUUCUUCGUGUGACCAAGAUCAUCAGUGGAGCUCCCAACAAGCUCUUCAAGAUUAAGGUUGUGAGGCUGUCAAUCGCCCAAAUAUUGACGAUGGAGUCACAAAAGUCAUCACCAAUCCAAGUCGUCCCCAAAUAUAGUUUCAAUCGUGGUCCAAUUCAAUGAAGGGUGUAAAGAUGGGUGUCUUGAGAAUUUUUUUUUUCUUUAGAAAAUAGACGGUGAAGGCUACCAUAGAUGGAGGUAGAAGAGUAUGGGUUGGGAUCAUAGGUGAAUGCGGGAUCGAGUUUUUGGGUCGGCAACUUUUUUAAUUAAUUAUCAAAUUAUUAGACCUAGUUCUAAUUUAAUGUUGCUUUAGUUAGAUUCGUAGGUCUAUUUAUGUGCCGCAUCAACACAUAACUCAAUUUUUGACAGAAUUACAACGAAAUGACCACAUUGAUUUACAACACCUAUUGUAGAACCAUAUCGAUUUUUAAUUUCAGAGACCAUUCGUAAUUAAAAUGACCUACUAAACUCAUUUAUGUGUCAUAUCAGCACAUAACAAAUUUUUUUACAAAACUAUGAUGGAUAAACCACAUUCAUUUGUAGCACCUAUUUUCAGAAAUUAUAUUUUAAAUUUCAAAGACCAUUUUGAUGGUGUCCAUCAAUUUCAUGGAUCAUUUGUAAUAAAAUCCAUUAUAUUUAUUAAUAUUAAAAAAAAACUAAUUGUUAUGAGAUUACGAUUAACUAUCACACUUUUUCCAUUAUCAUACUAAAACGGUUUAUAAUUUAAUAAAAAAGGUAAAAUUAUUUCUUUAGAAGGAAAAGAGAGAGCAGCCAGUAGUAAUGUGUAACGCUUCUCCACCUAUCCAAUCGCCGUUUCGACCGCCGACCGAUUUAGCAAAAACGUUCGCCGUCACCGUACGUCACGUUAGCGGCGGAGGGGAUCUCAAAGUGCCAGAGCCUCCCCACCGCCUUAACCAAGAACUUCCUGCAGAGGAACUCCUCUGCGAACGCCUUCUCCACCUUCCGAUCCACAUCGUGAAGGAACACGUGCGUCACACCGGAUCCCCGCCUCCUCCUCGCCAUGACAGCCGCAGAGAAUAUAGCCCCCAUCCGCCCCGGCGCCUCCGGGAAAUACCCGCGCGGCGCAUCGACCAUGAUCAGGUCCCACUCCUUGUCGUACACCUCGUCCGGCAGGUUGUCCAGCGCCAGCCUGCACUCGGUAUUUCCGCGCAGGACAGCCUCGGACGGGGAGCACGACCGUAGGGAGCGGUACGAGGAGAGGAGCUCGUCCGCCUCUUUGAGCUGCGUGCGGUAGUGCACCGUCUCGGCCCGUAGCUGGGGGACGUCCUUAAGGACGGUCUGGACCCACUUGGGGUCCUCCUCCAGGAAGAGCGUCGUGCCUCGUGGAUUCAGGGAGGCCCACAUGAGGGAGUCGAAGCCUAGGCCGAACACGAGGAAGUUGCAGGGGGAGCGGGACUUGAGGACCUCGAAGGACACAGCGAUCUCGUCCCGCGACUGCUGCGGGGUCUGGCGCGACGUGGCGUAGUGGAGGAUGGCCUGGAGCUGUAUGGCCACCG